AAACUGGGCCUGGGAGCCCAAAACUAAAACCAAGACCCAAAAAUUGGUCGAGUUGGGCCUGAUAUGUAAAACCGGGCCGACAGUCCAACCAGUGGCUAGACCAAUCGGGUCAUCAUUGACUCAAACCGAACCGACUCGGGAUACCGUAAGGGUGUCACAUCUAUAUCACCUGACACGGCGGAGCCGGUGGCUACGAUGGUGGCGUCCCGAUGGCUAACAGCAAUUGGUCAUUGGUGGUUGAGUAGGGAAAAAGUUACACUCCUACUGGAUUCUACCAGAGAAUUUGAUUUCAGAUUAAUUAUUCCAAAAAUAAUAUUAUUUUAAUAGUUUAAUAUUAAAUUAAAUUUAAUACAUCUUAAUACUUAUCUUAAUAGUAUUUUAUUAUCUUAAUAUUAAAUUUAAUUUAAUGUUUAUUAACAAGAUAAAUAUUUUAUUAUUUUAAUAAAAUUUAAUAUUAAAUUUAGUUUAAUAUUUAUCAUAUUAGAUUAAAUUUAAUAUUAAAGUGAUUAAGUUUAAUCAUAGUUGAACUCUCUAAGCUCUCCCUAUAUAAAGAGAGCCUUAGGUCAUUAUUUUCACACACUUGAACUUAAGAGAAAGUUGUAGAAAGAAAAUUCUCUAAAGAGAUUAUUCCAGAAAAUGUCUAGAGAUAUUUUUCUAAUUUACAACUUGACCUAAAUAUUUAGAGAAAUUACAAAAUUAUCCCACUGGUAAUUUUGUGAAAAAAUUUUUGAUUCAAAGUGAGCCCACACUCGGUAGACGUGAGCUUGAGGAUAGUGGAGAAGACAACUCAGUCGAAGUGCUCAUCCUAGACGAAUCGAAAAGAUAGAAUUUUGAUUAAAUGUUUAUUACUUUAGAUAUCACAAUCAAGAUCUUAUUCCGCUGCGUUUUCUAAACUCGUUUUUUUUCCAACACUUACCUCGAAAUCUAGAGGUAAACCUUAUAUCAUAAUCAGAAAUGAUCGACAAUGGUAAGCCGUGCAAUCUCAAAAUUUCUGAAAUAUAUAAUUCAGCUAAUUGCUCGAGCGGAUAAUCAAUUCGAACAGGUAUAAAAUUAGUUGAUUUUGUCAAUCUAUCAACAAUAACCCAUAUCUUUUCUUUUCAGAGUCAAUGGUAACCCUGAAACAAAAUCCAUAGUAACGCAUUCCUACUUUCACUCUGGAAUCAUCAAAGGUUGUAACAAACCUUACGAAACUUGAUGUUCGGUUUUCACUUGCUGACAUAUCAAACAUUUGGAUACAAACUCGAAUAUCUCACGUUCAUACUGAGCCACCAAUAAUGUUGUUUUAAAUCAUUAUACAUUUUGUUACUUCCAAGGUGUAUCGAGUAAACGCUACUGUGAGUUUCACUUAACAACUCUCAGUUUAACCUAGAAUCAUUUGGUACACAAAAUCGAUCCCGAAAAUAAAAACAAUCAUCAACUCUGAUACGAAAAUCAAUCUUCUGACCACUUUUCACUAGUUCAAAUCUCGACAACAAAUCUAAAUCAUCUUUCUGAAGUUCUCAAAUUUUCGAUAAGAAUAUCGACUUCACCAUCAACUCAGCCAAAAUAAAACCAUCACGUUCCAAUGUCAAAUUUGCAUUCAUGGCUCUCAAAGUGAAAAGAGAUUUUUGACUCAAAGCAUUUGCGAUAAUAUUAGCUCUCCCAGGAUUAUAAUCAAUUACUAAAUCAUAAUAUUUUAGCAAUUCAAGCUAUCUGCGCUGACACAAAUUCAAUUCUUUCUGAGUCAUCAGGUAUUUCAAGCUUUUAUGAUUGGUAAAAAUAUGACAUUUCUCACCAUAUAAAUAAUGUCACCAGAUUUUUAAAGCAAACACAACCGCUGCCAAUUCUAAAUCAUGUUUUGGAUAGUUUCACUCGUAAGGCUUCAAGUGCCUUGAGGCAUAAGCAAUUACUUUCCCGCUCUACAUCAAAAACACAACCCAGUCCACAAAGGGAUGCAUCACUAUAAAUGGUAAACUCUUUAUUGGUUUCAAGUUGAAUCAAAACUAGAGCUUCGGUUAACAUAUUGUUCAGUUGAUCAAAUUUUUUUUGACAUUUAUCGGACCAAACAAAAUUAACAUCUUUUUGCAAUAGUUUAGUCAUCAGAUAUGCUAUAAGGGAAAAUUUUUUAACAAAACACUGAUAAUAUCCCACUAAACCCAAAAAGUUGCGUACCUUAGAAACAUUCUUUGGUAUCUUCCAAUAAACAAUUGCUGAUAUUUAUUCAGAUCAACACAAAUACCAUCAGUAGAGAUUACAUGACCUAGAAAUCCAACCUCCCGUAACCAAAAUUUACAUUUAUUAAAUUUCGCAUAAAAUUAUUUUUCACGCAAGGUCUGCAAUACAAUCCUCAAAUGCUCAGCAUGGUCUGACUCCUUCAACAAGUAAGUCAAAAUGCCAUCUACAAAUACCACAACAAAAUGAUCUAAGUACGGUUAAAACACCUGAUUCAUCAGGUCCAUAAAUGUAGUUUUAGGUUAUUACAAUCUUUUUACAAUAGGUUAUUACCGUAACGAGUUCUGAAUGCAGUUUUAGGCACGUCUAGCUCUUUAACUUGCAACUGGUAAUAACCUGACAGCAAAUCAAUCUUCGAAAAUAUCGUAAUUCCCGUUAAUUGAUCAAAUAAAUCGUUUAUUCAAAGUAAUAGAUAUUUAUUCUUAAUUUUAACUUGAUUCAACUGUCGGUAGUCUAUACACAAUCUCAUCGAUCUGUCUUUCUUUUUCAUGAGUAAAACUAGUGCACCCCAAGGCAACACACUCGGUCGAAUAAAAACACGAUCCAACAAUUAUUGUAAUUGCGCUUUCAACUCUUUUAAAUAUGUGGGAGUCAUUUUAUAUGGAGCUGUCUCUAGUAUAAGUUUUAUUAUAAAUUCAACUUCUCUAGUCGGUCGUAACCUUGGUAACUCUUCGCAAAACAAGUCAGCAAAUUCUUUAACUCUUGGCACUUGAUCAAUUGUCAUUUUUGACACCCGUGAAUUAAGAAUGUACGCAAGAUACGGUUUACAAACCUUUCUGAUCAAUUUUUAAGCUGGCCAUGCCAAAAUUAUAUUCGUAGCAUAUCAUGUUCCAGAAGCUUCAACAUAAACAAGUUCAUCAUCUUGACAUUUCAAAGUAAUUGCUUCUAUCGACAAUUUACUAUUGCAUCAUGUUCAGUCAACCAGUCCAUACCCCAAAUGAGAUUAAAAUUAUCAAAUAGAAACAGCAUUAUAUUAGUAGGAAAAUAGUAACUCUGGAUUUUUAGUGGACACAUUCUACAAAUUUGAUUAACUAACACACACUAACCCGACGGAUUUGUGACUCUGACAAUGUAAUCAAUUGACCCAACAGGUAAAUUCUUUUUGUUUACUAGUGUUGUGCAUAUAUAAGAUGAGUUGACCCAGGGUCAAUCGAUGCAUAAACAUUAAUAUCAAAAAGAGAGAAUGUAUUAGCAAUAACGUCUCAAGUAGAAGUCUCCUCGUGAGCUUUAAUAGCAUAGGCCUUGCCAAGCACUUUAACCUCCGACCGCUCUGUUGUAUUAAUAGUUUUCCCUCAACCAAUUAUACCACUUUUACUAUUCCCCAGCUUUCUACCUCUCUGGAAAAUAGUCUUAGGUUUGGAAGCUUAAUACCAUAAGUUGUUAUAUUACUUUGGAUAAUUUCUAAGAAAAUAUUUAGUGGAACCGCAUUUAAAACAAGUUCCCAACUUGAAUUGACAUUCAUCGAAAUGGCCUUUACCACAAUGUUCGCAAACCGGUGAAUUUACAUAUUUCAAAUUGCUUUGCCUUGGUCUAUCUCUAUCAAUGAAUCUUGAAGGAGAAGUAAACCGACUAGCAUCAUUACAAAAUUUCUUUGACGAAUGACUCUGAAUUGAUUUGGAUGACCUUCUUUUAUUGAAAUCUCGAGACUUCAUAUUCGAUUGUAUUUUAUUUUUGCAAACUUCUUCCAUUUUUUACGCGCUUUCUGAUAACUCCAUAAAUUUUCACAACUUUAAAGCUCAAACCAACAUUCAGAUUUCAUCAUUUAGUCCAUCUUCAAAAUGAAUGCACAUCUCUUUUACCGAUGAUACGAUGUUUCGAGCAUACUUACUCAAAUGAACAAAUUCUCGUUCAUAUUUUGCUACUGAUCAAUUUUCUUACUUCAUCUUGAGGAACUCUUUCUUCUUCCUAUACAGAUAUAACCGACUAACAAAUUUAUUUUUAAACUCUGUCAGAAAGAAAUCUCAAUUAACCCAAUCAUUUGGAACCAUAGUUGUCAACGUACACCAUCAUGAGCAUGCUUCAUCUUUCAAUGGUGAAAUUGCACAUUUUAGGUUGUCCACGGGUGGACACAUAAGUUCAGCAAAUACUCUCUAUAUAUUCUCAAGCCAAUACUUAAUUCUAGAAGGAUCUUCGUCAACUUUACCCCCUGAAUUCUUCAGCCCUACAUUUACAAAUUUUAUCAAUAGGAGGGCAAUGAGAUAUUGCAGGUACAAGAUUUUGAGGACACGAAGGUGCUGGAAGAGGCACAGGCGGGGGUAAAUGUUGCGGAGCCAUAGGGUUGGCUCUCAUAAAAUCACUAAACCAUUGAUUCAUCAUUUUGUAGAAAAUAUUUUUCUUUUCACUAUCAAACGAUUGCAGAACUAACACACUUUGACUUGCUUCCUGAUUGGAUGCUAGGGCAUUACUUUCAUCUUCAUUUGCUACAGUAUGAUUUGAUUCAGCCAACAUUUUGUAUCUAUAAGAAAAACCGAAUCAGAAUGAAUCAAAAGCAUUACAUUAUUAGAGGAUAUAUGUGGCAUGUAUAUUCUAGACUCGAUACGCACUACAUUAGUCCUAGAAUCGACUAAAUCAUAACUCUGAUACCACUAAAUGUAACAACUAUAACCUGUCUUCACUAUCGGAUAAGGGUUACAGAGUAUUACAGAACAAUUCAGAAUAUUUAACUUCAAAUAGAAACUACUAUUUAGAUUAAAUAUUAACAUUCAAAUACACAAUACAUUUAUAGCAUAAGUACAUUUACGUUAAACCGAACUUACUGGGCCUUAAAAAUAGUUUAGGAACCUUCAAGGACUAAUUUAAAACAAAUUUGAAAAUUUUAGAAAUUUUGGAAAUGGGGUCACACAAUUUGAAGUAUUAAACACAAGACCGUGUCCCAACUUAUGUGUUCACCCGUUUGGGUAUUCGAAAUAGGGUCACACAGCAGUGUCGUAGGCCGUGUGUGCAUUUGAAGUUAGGUUACAUAGUCGUGUUGCCAGGCCAUGUAACUAUCUGAGACCAUGUCAUUCAUCCUACACCUAAAAUUUUAAAAGACACACGACAGUAUAGGGUGGCCGUGUGUGGCACACAACCGUGUGACAGCUUGUGUCCUAAGCCAUGUGCUCCCCUUAAUUACUUAGGUAUCAAACCAAACCAUUUCCACACACAUUCAAAUGGUUAAAACACAUUCAAACACACAUAUAACAUACCAAAUUCAUACAACUUAUGUGCCAAAUCAAUGUGUCCUUAUUGACACCACAAUUGUUAUACAAAUACAAUAAACAUAUCACCUAAAAGGUCUCUAUCAUACACAUACUAUUCAAUUAACAACCAUGUUUACAAUUUCCAAAUACCAAAAAGCAUACCGAAAGCAAAUCAAACAUGUCUAACAUCAUAAAUUACCUAUCAAAUUGGCCAUACCACAUUUCCAAAAUCAUUAAAGAUACCAAAUCAAAACAAUGCCUAAACAAGUGUACAACAUUACCAUACCAAAAUAGUAUCAACAUGAAAUAUGGUUUACCAAUUCAUAACAAUAUAAGCUUAAUUACAAUUUAACUAACAUGUUAAACUUAACCACAUCAAACCCUUUAUACAUGCCACAACCAAAAUGACCCAAAGACAAAAGCUACCGAAAAGAGUUUGGAUAGUGUGAGCAUUGAAGUUGAUCCGUCCGACUCAUUCCGCAAAAUGUUAACUACAAAAAUCAAAACAAAACAAGUAAGCUUAUGAAGCUUAGUAAGCCUAUAGUUAAAAUUUAAUUUAACUUACCAUAACUUAUAAAUGAUCACUAAUUAAUCUUAAAUCAUUAUAAUCUUGACAACCAUUUCUAAAAUCACAUAUCAUUAGUACCAAAACAUUCAAUCAUAUAAAUUAAUAUAUACACUGGCUGAAACCAAAGUUAUCCAUGCUUCCAUAUAUAUAUAUAUAUAUAUACACAAACAUAUCAUUAUACAUAAAUCCAACUCAAAAAGUAAUUUAACAUUUAAACAUAAAAUUUCAUGGCCCGUUAAACUCUAGCAAAUUGACUCGGAUACUCAGAUUUCCCCAAAACACACUAGAGAGCAUCGAAAUACUAACAGAGGCAUCGUAGUGCAAAUACAGAGGCACCAAAGUGCAAACAGAGGCACCGAAGUGCAAUAUCAUUCAAGCGCGCAUACUAAUCCUAUUGGCAUGCCAAUCGUAUCCUAACCGUUUACUACGUUCAACCCAGCAUUAUACUUAAAUUCAUAAUAUCAGUAAAUCAACCACUCAGGGGCACUUCUUAUUUCCAUACACAUACUAUAAAUAUGUUACAUUAUUUCAAUAUUGUGCAACACAAGAUUUACCAUUACCAAAAUAUUCAUUUUCUACUUGUACUUAAUUACAAUAAUUAAUAAUUUACAACUAAAUAAUGAAAUUUCAAAUUUAUUACAAUUAACUAGAAAUUAAUAUAUUAUCAUAAAGAAAGACACAUAUACAUACUAUUGCACUAUAAACUUACUUAUAUUAUGCUUUCGCUCAACUCGUAAGGACUAAUCCGCAACUUUCUCUUUUCCCCGAUUAAUCUCUGUACGAUUCAAUUCUUGGUCUAUAUAAUGAUUAUAUUCAAUAUAUCAAUUUCAAAUAUACCAUCAAACUUAUUUCUAUGCAUAUACCCUUAAAUUUUUAUAUUUACAAAUUUUCGCUAAACUUAUACAUUUUAUAUAAUUUAGUCCCUAAAUCCAAAAUUCCAAAUUUACUAAGAUUUCAUAAAUUCCUAUGCUAGAUGGAUUUCUUUAUAAACUAGUACAGCCCAUAAUUUUUCAAAAUUCAUAAGAAAUCUUUGUAAAUUGUAAUAUUUUAUCAACUUAGUCAUUUAACUAAAAACUAACAAAAAUUCCUUUACAAAAUAUUUCUAAACUAUAACCAAGAUUACAAAUUCAUCAUUAAACAUAAAAAAAAUACCUAGAAUUCAUCAAUGGUAAAUUCCAAAACCUUUAAAAAUUUUACAAAAUAGUCCCCUAGUUAGCUAGAUUAAGCUACAACGAUUACAAAAACAUAAAAAUUAAGAGAAACGAAUUAAAAACGAAUUUACACCCAAACCUUCAAAAUCUAUCCAUGGUAUUUUCUUUUCUAUUUUCGGUGGAGUAUAAUGUUAAAGAAGAUGAUGAUAAAAUUUUAUUUUUACUUUACUUAAGUUAUAAUUACUUAUUUACUGGUUUACCCCUUAUUUAAACAUACAUUUUAACUAAUCGCAAACCUAUAAUCGUCCACUAGUUUAUAACAUGGUAUAUUUGUAAUAGAAAACCUCUUACAAUUACUAAAUAAACCAUUAAAUCAUUAAAAUUCAAUGGUGAUUAAAUUUUAUGUCUUUUACAAGUUAAUCCUUUUUUAAUUAGUUAGCUAUUCAAACAUUAAAAUAUCUAAAUCGAACCUUCAUAAUGAGGUCUCGAUACCUCAUUUUUUGAAACCAAUUGACUUUCGGAAUAACCACUAAUACUUAGCCAUUAAUUUAAUUAGCUAAAAUUCAUCAAGUAAAAUAUUCAAUAAAAAAUUAUUGUUGGAUCGUAUAAUUUAAAUACUAAUUAUUACAGACUUACUUAUCGAAUUUUUGGUCUCGAAACCACUGUUUCUGACACCACUAAAAAUGGGUUGUUACACGCAUUUUCCUUUCAACGAUAACUAUUCCAACGGCUACAAGAGCUCCAACAACCAUAAUUUUUCCUAUAUAAACCCCUCCAAACUUGAUUCUUUUCAGCUCAAUACUUAAUCCUCAAUCAUCAAUCAUCAAUAUGAAUCAUCAAUUCUCAAUUCAUAAUUAUUUUUUCAGAAAUCUUUUUCUGAAUUUUAUUCUCUUUGAUUUUAUUUUUUUUAUUUUAUUUUACUCAUAAUUUUUAAAAUAGCAAAUCAACUUAUUCAUGUGGAUGACAAGCAUAUCUCCAACGUUCAGUUACAAAUGGUAAGAAAAUAUUAUUAACUUAUUUAGUUUUAAAUAGUUAAUUAUUAUGUUAUUAACAUUAUUAAUUUUUUAUGUUUAUAUACUCAACCCAAAGAUUGGAUUUUGGAGACGUACAUAAACAAUUUAAGCGAAGGUGCAUCGGAUGUCAUUUAUGGACACUUGCGAGAUGCAAGAUUUUUAAACGUGGCUCGCAUGCUCGGGGAGGCUAAAUUGGAUCGCUCACUUAUCAGAGUUUUGUUUUAAAGAUGGAGACCGAAGACACACACAUUCCAUCUUCUCUGUGAUAAGUGUAUAUUUACACUUGAGGACAUUAGUUUACAACUCGGUCUAUCGGUCAAUGGGGAAGUCAUUAUGGGGCCAAUGCUUAGUGCCGAUUAGAGCACAUGCGAGCAACUACUAGAGAAUGUGUCGAACAAGUUUAGGGAUAGCCGAAUCGAGAUAAGAUGGUUGGAGGACAACUUCAAAACUAUCGAGGCUUUCACAAGUGACAUUGAAAAAGAACAAUUCAAGUGCGCAUUCAUCUUGAGGUUGAUCGAAGGUUUUCUCAUUCCAGAUAAAUCUCAACAUCGGGUACAUUUAAGGUGGCUACUACUACUAGCCGACUUGAAAGAAGUAGGACGACUUAGUUGGGGAUCAACGAUGCUGGCAACAUUGUAUCGAGAAAUGUGUCAAGUGACGAAACCAGAAAAAGUUAAAAUCGGUAAUUGCAUACUCCUUUUUCAAUCAUAGGCAUGGUAUCAAGUAACAUUUUUAUGCCCCCGAAUGGACCUCUUUUAUGAAUUUAUACUCAUAAUAUGAUAAAUUUAUUUUGAUAAUAUCAUUAUCGUUUUAAUUUUUCAUUGUUGUAAUUUUGAAAAAAAUAAAUUAUUUGAAUAGGUGGAACAACCUUGUAAGACACAGUGGUAUACCAACUGAGCUCAAGGAUAUUUGGCUAGCGUUAGAUCAACAAACCAAAUAGGAGGUUAGUUUAUGAAUUUCAAAUUUAUCGGUUUUUUAUUCCAAUAUUUGAAAUUAAAUAUUAUAAACGUGCUAAAAUUUAUAAAUUCGUAUUGCGGUUUGUAUAGAUGCCAUAUGUGGAUUCGAGGAUUCAAGAAUGCAUCCCAACCAAAUUUUUGGUUAAUCGCAACAUCUGGCAAGUCAAAGUUCCAUUGAUCAUUUUUGCAAUGGUUGAGAUACACAAAUCUUACUGAGUGAUGCUGCAGUUCGGGUGUAUGUAACAUAUUCCAUUGCCACCCUAGGAGCUUAAUGACCUGUACAAUAUCUGUUAGAGUAUGCCCAAAGAUCAAUCAUGAGAUGGUUGUAAUAACAUACUUGAUUUAUCAUGUUUAUUAAUAUAAGGCGUUACCAUUAUUAUUUCAGUUUCUUUUCUGUGUGUAUAAAUAAACUGUUUUAUAAUAAUGUCCUGAGAAUAAUAUGAUUAUUCUUAAAAGGUCCUUAGUCAAGUAUUAUUGUUGGCUAGGACAACAAUAAUGCAUUAAGACUAACAUGUAGUUGAUUGAUGAUAAAGAGUUGUCAUUGAUAUGGAAUGUCAAAAUCGAUGCAUGAAUAUGUGUGUUAGAGAACAACAUAUUAGACUGACCCGUUAUGAGUAUGUUCUUGGAUUAUUAUGUAAUUAUCACAACAUUACUCAUAGUGAUUAAUAUGUAUAUGAUCUUCAGACUUAAGAUCAUCAUAAUCCCAACAUCGUGAGUUGUAUAUUUUGAUAUAGUCAAACGUACACUGGUUGUUCUAUAAAGGCUGAUGUUGGAUAUACCACUUGAUUGAGUGAGACUAGAAAUGCAUGGUUAUGCUCAAAUAAGCUGUCAUACUUAUUUGUAUAUCAUAGUCUACUUAAGAUAUCAAGGAACAUGGAAUGGACUAUGCAAGUGUGACUAUUCCAUGACUUGUGUCCAAUCCAGAGAUAAAAGACAUAAGGAUUAUUGCAUGAAAGGUUAAUCAUAAAAAGGUUAUGUCCAAUCAUGAUUUCUUGUAACUUAGGUAGCAACGAUGCAUUGCUAGGUGUCACUCAUUGUUUGUAACAUUGGAAUCAUUCUAGUAUUACUGCUAACGUUACAAAAACCUACAGGUCACACCCUAUAGUUGAAAUGAGCAGAAUAAAACAUAGGCGGUAUUGUGUUUGGUUGUCGCUUGAAUAAAACAUAGAAUUAAUUUAAUUGGGUAAUCAAAUAUCGAAUACAUUAUAUGUACAAGGUUGUUGUACGCAUAAUGAGAACAUGAAUUUGGUUCGUAUAUAAAUUUAAAUAAAUAUAUAGUUUACCGAAAUCAUUAUUAUAAUUAAUGUAAUUAUAAUUUUUGGUUUAAAAAAUAUUGUUAUAUUUAUUUAAUUUCUAGAAACCCUAAAAAUAGAUAUAAAAAUCUCAUUUUUCUUUGUUUGAGGGUCAAGCAGCCGUCAAAGCAAAGUCUUCUCCAAAAACAGUUUUGGGGAUUUCUUCCGUUCAUUAUCAACUAGGUGGAUUAUGUAGAGGCCGGAGUCACGAUAGAUUGCGACUUGGUUCGAUAGUAAAUCAGAUUACUCAUUACCGAGACAUCGCUGUCUACUCAGAAUAAAGAUUCGAUAAUUUUGAAACAUUUAUUUCACCCUGAUUCGUUCCUCACACAUGGAUCCAUGGUUAGGAUCGUUGGAUGUUUUAUUUUUUCGCUGCGCCGUAAGGGUGCCAGCGUUCUAAUAAUAUCAACUUACGAGGGAGACUCGAGGAAGAUUGGCCAACGUUCCACAAAAAUUAUAUCGAGAUUUGGCAUCGUAGGUACGAUUACUUGCUAACACAUGAACCAUUUCUCACACUAGAGUUGGCGAAAUCUCCAGAUUACAUGAAUUGGUUCAAGUAUAACAGCAAGUCGUAUCUACUGCCAACUUCAGAAAGGAGUAGGCAACGUCGUCGUAGGAGGCCAAGACGAGGGCCCAUCAAUCUUAGGUCGGGAGAAGAUGCCACAAGGGGAUCAACAUUUGCUUCAGCUUCACACGAUGACCCAAUAGUCGUGUAACCUCCCCGUCAAUAUUCCUAAUGGAAACAAUAACGUAGGUACGAAAUUCAUGUUUUUCACAAAAACCUCGACAAUUCCCAAUGCCAAGUAUUCUUAUGGAAAUAAUCUGCUUAAAAGCUCGAUAUGCAAACUCAAGGGAUUACAUUGAGUUUAUUUUAUAGAGCUCGUACCCCAAGGCACAUCAAACAAUUCCAGCAACAACACAUGCCCCAGGCAUCACAAGUUUUUGAGGUAUACAAUUAAAGUUUAAAUUUGUGGGGGAGAAAACGCUCCCCCGUAGCAUUUUUCAUCAAGUCACAUGUUUGACAUGUCAGUGGAAAAUGCGUCCUGCAGGAAGUGUUUUCACUACCAUACCAGUUGAAAAUGCCUCCUGCAAGAAGCGUUUUCUCUCUGGCCAUUUCAACACCCAAGCCAACUUGGUUGUUUCUUUCUUUGAAGCCAUUGCAACUCAAGAUUCUAUAGAUAAAUUUCAUACAUUGCAACUCGAGAUUCCUGGGAUAAAUUAAAAAAAUUCUCUUUUACCCCGCCCCAUCCCCUAUAUAAAUGGUCGUUCUCAUCCCCUACUCCAACAUAUCUCAGUCUCCUUUAAAUUGUUUUCUUUUUCUUGCGUGUUAAAAUUUAUGGGUUUAAAUAUUUAUUUCUCUCUGGGUUCACGGUGAUAGUUUAAGUUGUGUUUGGGUUUAUGGUGAUGUUGUGGAGUUUGGUAACCUACAAAUUUCACCUGUCGUGUGAGUAUGGAGCCAUCACCUAAGAAGCCGAGAUCGUAUUGCAACUUGAAGUCCAAGUUGACAAUGAUUAUACCGUCUCGAGUUAAACUGUAACUAAGGCUUCAAGUUUACAAAGGUUAUGUUGUCAAAGGAUGAAGCAUAAUUGGGGCCCUAGUUGACGAUGGUUAUGCGAGCACGACAAUGAGUUUCUCCUCGGCAAAGGAGCAUGCUUUAUAAAACCCAUACGGAAGUGCGAGGAAGGAAAAUGCAAGAGUCUUCAAGUAUAAUCAAGUAAUCUGUGUUGUCCAUCCCCACCAAAGGUAGUGACCUUAUUAGUAAAACAUGUUACACCCUAAUUCUGUCACAGGUUAUGACCCCGUCUUUGGUGGACAUGGAUAAAACGAAAUACUUGAUUAUACUAAAACGUUACUACGUUUUUCUUUCUCGUACUUCUAUUUGGGUUUUAUAAAGCGUCCUCCUCUGAUGAGGAAAAGCUUGUUGUCGUGACCGAAUAACCAUUGUCAACUAGGGCUCCAUUUAUGUUUCAUCCUUUGACAACAUAACCUUUAUAAACUUGAAGCCCUAGUUACACUUCAACCCGAGACUGUAUAAUCACCACCAACUGGGACAUUGAGUUGGAACACGAUCUGGCUUCUUGGGUGAUGGCUCCAUACUCACAUGGUAGAUGAAUUUUGUAGAUCACUCAGCUCCACGACACCACCGUAAAUUGAAACAUACCUUAAAACUAUAAUAAUGUCUAUCUCAAACACAAACAAAAAAUAAAUCCACAAACUUCUAAUUUCCAACUGCAAGAAAAAAAUUAGCAAAGUGAAAAUGAGUCCUACAGGGCGCAUUUUCCUUUCUAUCCAAAAACAAUGUAAAUCAGUAAAUUUAAAAUAAAAUAAAACAACCUACUUUCUCAAUAUUUUUUCCUAGCAUAUUCUUCAAAAUCAGCUCUUAGAGUUUUAUUCAAGUAAUAACUCUAUUUUAAAAUUAGCAUGACUCUUUUUAACUAAUAAUCAUAAAUUAAAUUAUAAUUAUUUUUAAAUGUGUAAUUUUGAGAACUUCUAUUAAAUUAAUAUUUUUAAAUGUAUAAUUAUCACAAUUUCUAUUUUACUUUAAUUUUUAUUUUUAAAUAUGAAUUUAAUAAUAUGAUGAAAAAUAAAAAAUAUUUUCACCAAUUUAAAAAUAUUUUCAAAACUCGUACUUUUAUGUAUAUUACAUAAACAUUUUACUUUUGUACCUUAUUAUGUACAUGUCUAUUUAUUUUUCAUAUCAAGUAACAAAAUAGCAAAUUUUAAACAAAAAUAAGUCUUUCGAUAUCUUCAAAAGUGUUAAAAAAUAUUGAAAUUAAUUUAAAUAAUUAUUCACUCAAUUUUGAACUCAACAAAUUAAAUUACCGAAAAAUAUAGAAUUAAAUAUAAACAACUAAUAACAAAAAUUUAAUAUAUAAUAUUUACAGUUAAGUUUUGUAUUUUAAAAUUUUAAAAAUAAAAAUAAAAAUAUAUAAAUUAAAUUUCAAAUUAAGGACAUAUUUUCUCUUCCAACAAAAUAACAUUCUACCACUACCAAACUUUGAAGUCAUAGAUUGUUGGUCAAUAAGAAAUCAGAUGGCGAUGCGACUGUCAUUUUCUAAUGAACUUUACCAUCAUUCUCUUGGAAAGUAGAAUUAGGCACAUUAUCAGAAGUUUACUUAAAUUAAAAUAUUAUUUUUAUAAAAUUCCAUUUGGGAAUAUAACUACCAUCUAAUAGUCAAAUUAUAUUUGGAUAUAUACAAACUUUUGUGCAUAUAUUUGCCAUCUGUAAAUAUGGAAACACCUUUUUCAAUUAUCGAUCACACUCCACCACCGCUUCAAACUUAGUAAAUUUUUUUCUGAACUAAAAUAGUUUUACAUCAAAAUAUAUUUAAAAUUAACUUUAUUUUGAAUUAUUUAAUUUUAUUAAUAAUACAUAAAAUUAUAUAUUAUUAGUGCAUUAAAUAUUAAUCUACUUAAAUUUAUCAAAAAAUGCUAACAUAUGAUUAAAUUUAUUAUUAUAAAUAUAUUUGUAUUGCAUAUAAAAUUUUAUCAUAUUUAUAUAAGAUAUUUUGUUUGUUAAUAUUAAAUUAUGAGACACCAGAAAAUAUAUUUAUAUAAAUUAAAAAUAAAUUUUGGUUGAACUUAUGAGGAUUAUGGUGUUCUACUUCUAGUUUUAAAACUCACCAUGGUAAUAUCUUAUAAAAACAUUUUAAAAGAGAAGUAUAAAAAGGAUAGAAACACCCUUAAAUCAUAAUUAUUAUUUUGUAAAAAAAAAAACUUUUUAGUAAAUUUCUAAUUAAGGGUGUGUUUGAUAAAUUAAAAAUUUAAGUGUUCAAAAAUUAAAUAUGAAUUUUUUAUUGCAAAAUUUUAUAAGUGCUGAAUUUUUAUUAGAAAAUUGUUCUGUAAAUUAGUAAAAAUAAAUAUUGAAUAUGAUUAUGUUGUUUGGUAAAAGUAAAUAUUAAUUUUUAAUUUUAAUCUUAUUAAUAUAAUAUUUUAGAUAAUUUUAGAUAAAAAUAAAUAUGAUAAUUUGAAUAUCUCAUUUUUUUAGAAAAUAAUUUAAUUUAUUUUUUAAUAAAUUAAAAUAGAUUUAAUGUUUUCUACAUUGAGUGAUAAUUGUACCUAACUUGUUACUUAUCUUAUUCAACAAUAUUUUUUGUUAAAAAAUUUAUAUUAAAUAAAAAAUGAUUAUCAAACACAUUAAAAUUUUAUCAAACACACCCUAAGUUAUUUUUGAGUAUCUAAUUGACUUGUCACACAAACUCAAUCAAAAGCUUAAAUAAUAACAUAGAUAAAUAUAUUUAAUAAUUAAUUAUUUUAUAUUAAAAAUAAUUAAAUAUUUUUAAUUUACUUAAAAUUCCACGUAUUAUUAAUCCAGUGAAUGAGAGCAAUAUAGAUAGGUAAGGGAACCUUUAAAACAAAGGUAGUCUUUUCAAUUCAGUAUUGUUGGUAGCUGCUUAGUAUUGCUUAUCAAACAAAUACUUUAAUAUCCAUGGAGAUCAACAACCCUAAUCCCUCAAAAAUGGAUAGGAAAUUCAUUGAGAGAAACAGGAGAAUUCAAAUGAAAGCUCUCUAUUCUAAGCUCAAUUCCCUCGUUCCACAUCACACCUCUAGGGUUUACUCUUCUCUCUCUCUCUCUCUCUUAAUCUUUUACCUACGAACUUGCUCCAAAAUGUGCACAGAUCUUUGCUAAAUCUGGGGUUUUUCUUCCCCUCUUUAUUUACAUUGCAUGAUGCAUGGGGUUUAUUCAAUUUGCAGGAAGCAAUAUCACUGCCUGAUCAACUAGAUGAAGCUACAAAUUACAUAAAAAGUUUAAAGGCAAACUUGGAGAGGAUGAAGGAAAUGAAAGACGGAUUAAGGGGAUUAGUGGAAAGGGCAAAUACAAGUCGCAGCUAUGGGUCAAAAUCUCCUCAAAUCCAGAUUCAAGAAAUUGGUUCUUCUUUGGCGAUCGCCUUGAACACUGGCUUCAACAGUCAGUUCAUUUUCAAUGAAACCAUUCGUAUUGUUCAUGAAGAAAGAGUCGAGGUUGUGAAUGCCAAUUUCUCUGUUGUCGAUGAUGAUACUGUUUUCCACACUAUUCAUCUCACGGUACUCAUUGCUAGUGUGCUUUCUUCACAUUCAUUUACCCCCCCCCCUUUUUUGAUGAAUAUUGGUUUGUGGGUUUUGUUUUUGAAAUUCUUGGGUUGAAAACGUUGUAGAUUGGGGAGCCAUCGGCAGCUGCCAGGAUAUCUCAAAGAUUGAACAAGUUUGUCCACGAUGUUGAUGCAUCCAAUAAGUACUGAAAGGUACUGUCUUAAUGGGGUAAAUAAUCUGAAUCAUUGAUCUUAUAAACUACACCUAUUGUUAUGAAAUUAUAAAUGAUGUUUUCAAUUCCCCAUAUGAAAUCUUCUUGUUGUUUUAGGUUGGAAAUGGUGUUACUGAAUAUUUGGAAUAUAACACAGAAUCUAUUUUCCUGAAAUAUGCCACCUUUAUUUACAUAUGAAUUUCUAAUGAAUUAAUGUUUUUUUUUUCUUUUAAUUUUUAUAAAUUCAAAUAAAUAUUAGCCUAUUUUACUUGUUUCUAUUUUCGUUAGUCUUGUAUGUAAAGUACAUUUUAAAGCAAAGAAAGAAAGCCUUAACUUGUUUGGACCGAUGAAUCGCAAUACUUAACUCUUAAGAUUAUUAGCAAGAUGGUUGUUAAAAAAAAUGUAGGAGAUUCAAGUCAUACAGUCGCUUAAUUUUCAAAAAUAAUAUUCGUGAAAGAUUGGAAGAAAAGGUUUUCCCACCUAAGAAAAGCAUGUAAGUUUAGUAUAAAGGCAUGUUUGUAAUUUUCAGUGAAACUUCCUUUUGUUCUUUUUAGAUUAAUGGCAGGACAUAUAUUUACAUGGAAUGAGAAUUCAAUUAUGUUAUGAACAAAAAGGAAGUCAGUCAAUUGUGGAAGUCUUUGGAGAAGUUCUUAGGAAGUUGGAUCAUAUAAUAUUAUAAUACAAUAUAUGUAUGUUUGUUAAAAUUAUAUAAAUUCUAUUCUAUGUAUGAAAAAAGAAUAAAUUCAUCUGUAUGUAUUGAAUGACGUUUGCUUGCCUUUUUUUCUUUAUUUUUCUUCAAUUAAUUUAAAACAUCAUAUUUGUAGACUGGUGCAGAAGUAUAAAUAACACUUUAUUUUUAUAUAACGUUUACAAAUUUUGCUAUACAGUAGAACUCGUGUAUUGACCUGAGUAUGGUUUGAGUUUAAAUCACAGUACUUGUUUUGUUAUUAAAAUUUCACCUUCCUCUUAUAAUUCGUCAAAAAAAAUAUUAUCUUAAUAAAGUGAAAGUUGAAUAUACUAGUCAUUUUGCACUCACGCUACAAGUUGGAUUAAUUAUUUUUUUAAUUAUAAAGUAAACUUUUAAAUGUUAUAAUAUGUUAUAAUUUUUUAUAUUUGAAAUUUAGUUCUCAUACUUUUAUGUUAAAUUUAAAGUGAAUUUAAGUAAUGAAUAUUUUUUUCUCCAUAAAUUAAUGGAUAAUUAUUUAGUACACGAACAACAGAAAGUUUUUAUUCCACAAGUAGAGUUUAGAUUUUACCAUGUUUUUAUUUUAAUUUUUUAAAUACAAUUUAAGGAUAUAUAGCAAAAUCUCAAACCUACACGUGGAGCUAUAACUUUCCACCGCUAAUGUAUCAGAUAAAUAUUUUAAAUUAAUAUUGAAUAAUAGAUCUAAUAUUCAAAUAUGUAAUAUAUAAAUCGAUAAAAGAUAAAUUGAAUAAUUAACUUUUAUUAAACAUUUAAUGACUAUAUAAAACGAAAGAUUAGGGUUAGGUAUAGAUUAUCUUAGGUCAUAUUAUGGUAUUGGUCAUUCUACUAUGCUUACAUUUACGAUUUAAUCUAUAUACUUUUGUUUGAUCUAGUUUGGUCCCUCUAUUAUUAUAAUCUCGUUAGUCUCUAUUAUUAUAAUCCCGUUAGUUAAUCCAAAUAAUUAGCAUCCUUAGGGUAUGUUUCUAUAACAUAUAAUAAUUGGAUGAAAGUGUAACUACUAGGGUAGUAAUUUACAAAGAAUUGUAAUACCCUAGGUAUAUUUGGCUGAUAGAGUGUAAUUACAUCGUAAUCUCAUAAGUCAUGUUCAAUAGUACAAAUUGUAAUUGCACAAUUACGUAACUUGUAUUUUUAAAAAUAUUUAUUACUAUAAAAAAUUAUCAAUACGAUAAAAUAAUUUCUAAACGAGUAGCAAAAAUUAAAAUCAAAUCAUAAUAUGUAAUAUAUUAGUCCAAGAAAGUAGUUGAUAAUAUGACGACUAAUAAAAAUAACAAGAAAAAUAAAUAUUAUAAUGCAAUUUUAUCUAAUUUCUCUAGCAUUCCAUAUUAUUGGGUUAUUCCCUCUUUAACAUUUAACACAUGUCCAUUACUCAUUAUCAUCAUUUGUUGGUCCUUAAUCGAGUCCAUAAUCCAAAUCUGAAUCUAAAUCUAAAACUUUGUAUAUGUCAUUAAGAUUAUCAAGAUCUCCUUAUUCCAUAUACUUUUUGUAUGCAACAUGCUUGUACAACCCAACCUUUUUUUUUAUGCUAUAUUGAGGUGAUAUUGUUAAUAUAGGAAAUCUUUUUUAGAACAACAAAUAUUCUCUAAACCACAUUUCAAAGCUUCGAAUGUUUUAAAUUAAAGAGUUUGCAAGUACACAUUUUAUAUCAUAUAGCAUGGAAUGAAAUAAGUUAUGUCCAUAUUUUUUACCAUAAUUUUUUAUAUAUAAGUAUAUUAUAACACUUUUAGCUUUUAUAAAUUUUUUUAUAUUAUACAUUUUAGCCAUAACUUCAAAAAAAAUUAGAAUUUACAUAAUAUAAUUUUUCAUAUAAUUUUAUAAAAUUAAGAUACACAUAAAUUUCUUUUUACAAUAUAAAUUUUUUAAGAUUUAUAGUAUUAUUUUAGAAUUUUUUUGACAUAAUCACCCCAAACACUUAUAUGUGUUCAUACUUAUAAUAUAAUUUUUAUAACUUAAACUUGUAUAAAAAAUAAUUUCUUAAACUUAAAUCAUGUAAAACCAAUGUGCUAUAUAAGUGAAUAGUUAUAUUGGGAAUAUGUGUGAUAUAUCAGUAAUAGAAAACAAGGGUAUUCGAUACUGAAGGAAGUUGAAAUAAGUAAUAUGUUGUUAGAUAUUAAUUUGAGGUAUGGAUUAAACUUUUAAAAAAAAGAAAAUUGAAGGGGUUAAAUCAUAAAUAUUCAAAAGUUGAGGGGUUAAAUUAAAAAUAUAAAAAAUUUGAAGGACUAAAGUUACAAUUAUACCAAAAGUUGGAAUGGCUCAAUUGUAGAUAUUAAAAAUUUUCAAAGGCAAAAUAAUUAUUUUGCAAGUGAGAUAAUUUUGGUAAAAUUACCAAAAUGCUCUUAGACACAGUGUAUUGAAUUUGAGCUAUUGGAUUUGCUUGAUGAUGAAGGUAAUAAGGGCGAUUGGAUCAAAGAUAAAUAUAUUUAUUAUAAUUAUUAAUCAUGAAGUGUUGGCACAUCUUGAGCCAUUGGAUUUUGAUGGAAAGUGAGAUGAAAUAUUAGCCAUUAGAUUGAAAUUAUUAUUAUAAGAUAUUUUAUAUUAUUUUAUGAUUAUAAAAAGAGAAUAAUGAAUAAUUUUCUUCAUUCAUCCAUGCAUCACAUGUCCAUAGCAUGGAGGAAGAGAGAAAAUUUUGGUUCUCUUACAAUUCGGUUCUCCAUUAAAUUUCAACUUUUCAACCCUAAAUCUUAGAAAUAUAUGUAACGCCUAAAACCCGACCCGAUUCACUGGGUCUGGAUCCCGAGUGUUACUAAACGAUACAAAUUACUUAACAAAAAUAGUUUACAAUGUCUCAUUUAUUUUAAAAUUGUUAUUUGUAGCUCCAAAAGAAAAGCUUAACAUUUGGUAAUUUAAAAUAAAAUAUAUGAUAAAUAACUUAUUACAUCAUAUUUGAUACAUGUCUUUACAAGUUUGAAUUUUGUUUUAAGGCAGACUCAAAAGGCAUAUUCAAUAUUGCACCAUAAAUCCAUUGUAUGCAUAAUAGCCCACUCCACCACCAUCUUGGCGUAGUCCUAGCGUUGUCCCUCCAGGCGAAGCCUCUUCAACAACAAACCUAAAAAUAAUAACAAACCUUGUAAGUACAAAAGUACUUAAUGAACCCUACUAUAACCAUACAUUUAUGGAUACAUUGCAAUCUUGUAUGAAUUUGUACGAGUCAACCAUAUUCUGCACCAUUUAUUUCGGCGAUACCAUUACAAUGUUAUCAUUCUUUUAUACGCCAGUUAUCAUGUCCUUAUCAUAAUUAAUCUUCCAUAUCUUGUUAACUGAGGAAUCCUUCCAAUCAUUUCAUAAAUUCCUUGUCCCAUAAUACUUACCUAACAGAACAUACCCUUAGAAACUACUUCCAACAAUCCACACCUUAAUCCAUUCUCUUAUUUCAAACAACUACUUACUGACAUUAUCUUAGGUGGAUACAUAUAUAUGGCAGAUACUUAUGCAGAGUUUCAUACCAUUGGUUCACACUCAGACAUACCCUGAUCCAGAUCUGUACACAUAUUCAUACUGAUAAUCCACUACGUAUAACAUCCAAAUGAACUCCAUAUCAUGCUAUAUCAGAAUCUCAUAAUUCAAAAUGCCAUUAACUCAAAUUCAGAAUAAAUUUAGAAGAAGAUGUAAUAUCCCUCACUUUUCAUAUUUAUAGUUUAUUAUGAUAGAUACCCUUCUCAACAUACAGAUAUACAUUUCUUUUCUACAGAACCCUUAUGACUUUAUUCAACUCUUAUUCUUGAGCAUAUCAAUAAUUUAUCUUGGUCAUACUUAUUACAAAAGAGACAAAGAUUCAGAUUCAUAGCUUACAAAAUAUUCCUGAUAGUUAACACCACAUAAACUUAGCAAAGCACACCAUACAUGCAAUCAGAUAAAGUACGCCACUAAGGAGAUCCAUUUAGAGUUCGCCACAAAUGCAUUCCAUUUAGAGUUCGCCACAAAGGCUAUUCUUUGUUGUCAUGUUUACGAUAUGGAUUUUCUUAAACUCACAUUACAUGAGGUUUGCCCAUCAUCGUCCUGGGAUACACGGAGAACCCCAUUGGGUAAUCACCAUUCCCUAGUUCUUUUUCAGAGGGUACCAUGACCAUGGACUUUUCCUUCAGAGUUUAUAUCAGAAUUUAUGUUUUUAGUCCCAACGGACUCCAUUAGACACCACUACGAUGAACAGACCCAGACUCUCUUAACAGACACUUUAUGUAUUGACACAAUCUAAAUUCAACCUUUUUACUUCACUAACAUACACUCAAUCAGAACACACACAUCUCAUAGCAUACAUUUCAGACAUAUACAUACUCAACCAUACUUCAAUGUUUCAAUACUCGUACACUAAUGAUCAUAUAAUAUACUUUUCAUGACUUCGAAUCCAUUGUUCAAUCAGUUUCCUAUAGAUGACUCACAAUAUGAUCAGUAUACAUACAGGAGUCAACAUAAAACUCACCUGACGCCCACGUACAGCACCUUAAACUCCAGAUUCAAACUUCCAUCAUGAAACUACAGCAACCACUGCUUACAAAACAUAGGAACACCAUUAAAACUCUUUCGCAUACUAUUUACCAUCAUCUCGAGCAUAGAUAACCCCCAUGCAAAGCUUUAUUUCUCCAUCUUACUGUUAAUAUACCCAUACAAACUUAAACUUUCAUAACUUAACAUGCAGAGCCAUAAUACUUACCUUGACAUGGAGUAUCUACUGAUAAAAAUAUAGAAUUACAACUUCCAGCUUAAAGAAGAAAGAAAUGUUUUUGGUUCCUUAAAAAUAAGAUAAUAACACUUUAGAAGAAGGAAGAAGAAAACUCUCCUUUUUUUCAAACUUGAAUACAUAUAUAUACAACUUAUAUCCUUAUUAUGGAACUUGACAUGUGUCACAAUCUUUCAAAAUUGUCCUUAUUUUGGUCUACGACCCUUGAGAAGAACACAAAUGAUCAUCCAAUAAGUUUAUUUAUACCUAACUCAUCUACUCAAUUGAUUCCUAACCAGAAUGUUUACAACGUAACUAGCAUAGUAAUUUCAAUCAAACUUGGCGUACAAUACCUUUGGUAUUAACCCAACUUGCAAUUUCCCCAAUACUUUUACCGAGCUCUUAUUCUUUACAACUCAACACAUUUUAAGGUCAUUCUUUACCUAAUAUCUCAACUUCUGUUAUGUGCCCAUUCUAUACGCCUAAAAGAAACUAUUGGACGGAUAGAACUAUGCCACAUAUAUUACUCUCAAUUUACGCGCCAAAACUUAAGACCUGCCAAACCAAAGAUGCUACAAUUUCUAUAGCAACCAAAGAUAAGAAAGUGAUGAAAGUAUUAUAGACAAAGGAAAGAAAGUGAUAAAAGUGUGAAAGGAAGAAAAUAGAAGCAAAUAGAGUGAAAUUUAGCUAAAAAGAGUGUCCUGAAAGUGAUCAUGUGAAAAGUGUUCGUGAGUGGCUUACCGAAUCAUAUCGCAUCAACACAGUAAUAUGGAAAAGUAUGAAUUUCAAUUUAUGGACAAUAAUGUGGCAUGUACUUAGGUAAGGAAUGUGUUAAGUAGAUAGUGAAAUGCCUUGAAAACAAGUUUUGUUGAAGUGGGAAUGUCUUGAAGAUUGUGUGGUUAAUGAUUAGUGAUUGAACAUGGAUGUGUUACAUGAUGUUUUGAAGGUAUGUAUUGAGGUAUUUUAAAGAAAAGAAUGGAACUUAAGUGAUGUAUUAAUCUUGAAAUGUGACAUCUUUUGCUCGAGUUAUUGAUUUGACUCGUGUAAGGGAUGUUACAAUCGUUGAUUCUAUAAGAGUAGGGCCAAGUUGUAUAUCCAAUCACAUCCUAGUAGAGCACUCCAAGGCUCUACUACUAGCACUAUAUGGUCUUACAUUAUACGAUACCUAUUUAGUGGAAGCCACAUCAAACUCCUCUGUAUAACCCUCUUCGUUUUUAAAAAAAAAACUCCAAGCACUUAACACACCAUUGAAACCCUGCCCAACUUUUUACAUCUUCUUUAGUGGAUCUUAGUGUACUAGUGUGAACCACAUCCAACUAUGAUCUCAACCUUGUUUAGUGCUUCUCAACACACCUUUACGAACCAUGUUUGACUAUUGUCUAAAUGUUGCAUUGGCAAAACUAUAGUGAUAACAUAAAAAAAUUAUUAAUAUAGGCCACUUACAAAGCUAAGCUUUUAAUCUAAGUAUUUAAUAUUUAAAUUUUAAUAUUAAAAUGUCACUUAAAAAUUAAAUAUAAAACCACUUUUAAGUUUUACAUUAGUGCAAGGAGAUUCUUCCCACUUAAAAUAUAUUUAUUUGAGUAGCACUCAAAUAGUGGAGGCCCAAUUAGAGAUCCGAGUUCUCAUAUAAAUGUAAACAAAAGGCCCAAAUUCCUAUGGUAAACCUGUCAUUUAAGACAAUGUAGAUCCCCUCCGUCGGACUAGGGUUUUCUUUUAUCUUCUUACACACUUUUACUCUUUAUACACUUCGGCUCCACUGCAAGCAAAAUCUAGAGAUCCGUCGACAAUGGUAGGAGUUUUCGAAGUAGGCGCCGUUCCGUUUAAUCCUGACGGCUGGGGUCCGCCCGACUCCACCACCGCCACCGUGCCGUCCACCACCACCACUCUCCCUCCUCACGUUCCUUUCGCUCCCUUCUCCCGCUCUGAAAAACUCGGCCGAAUCGCCGACUUCACCCGAUCUUUUGCAAAUGCCAACCCAUCUAACCGCCCUUCUUCAGGGAAGCCUGGCGCAGCCUCCUCAGAGUCGCCCUUCGAUUUCUCGCUCGACCUCGAUACUUUCCCUCUUGCGUACCCCGAAGACGAUUCUUCCUUCCGUUUAGUCGACGCAAAGCCGCCCACGCGGCCUAAAUUUGGCCCCAAGUGGCGCUUCAACCAACACCGACCUCAACUUCCUCAACGGCGAGAUGAAGAAGUUGAGGCCCGUAAAAGAGAAGCUGAAAAAGAACGAGCCCGACGUGACCGUCUUUAUAAUCUCAACCGAUCGAACCAGAACCAGCAACGUCGUGAAGCUGCGAUUUUCAAAUCCUCCGUCGAUAUCCAACCAGAGUGGAACAUGCUGGAUCAAAUCCCUUUCUCAACAUUCUCCAAAUUAUCCUUUUCCGUUCCAGAACCUGAAGAUUUACUUCUCUGCGGUGCUUUAGAGUAUUACGAUCGCUCCUUUGAUCGAAUUACCCCGAAGAACGAACGGAGACUCGAGAGGUUCAAGAACAGAAACUUCUUUAAAGUCACCACGACUGACGACCCGGUGAUCCGAAGAUUGGCAAAUGAGGACAAAGCAACUGUUUUCGCCACUGAUACGAUUCUGGCAACGUUAAUGUGUGCACCCAGGUCAGUUUAUUCUUGGGACAUUGUGAUUCAACGUGUUGGGAAUAAACUAUUUUUCGACAAAAGAGAUGGGUCACAGUUAGAUUUGCUAUCAGUCCACGAGACCUCUCAGGAGCCAUUGCCUGAAGCUAAAGAUGAUAUUAACUCUGCUUAUUCAUUGAGUGUUGAAGCAGCUUACAUAAAUCAGAAUUUUUCACAGCAGGUUUUGGUUAGGGAUGGGAAUAAGGUUAGUUUUGAUGAGCCGAACCCAUUUGCCAAUGAAGGUGAUGAGGUGGCUUCUGUGGCAUAUAGGUAUAGGAGGUGGAAACUUGAUAAUGAUAUGUAUUUGAUUGCACGGUGUGAGGUUCAGAGUGUUGUUGAAGUUAAUAAUCAAAAGUCUUUCCUCACUUUGAAUGCGCUUAAUGAGUUUGAUCCCAAGUAUUCUGGUGUUGAUUGGAGGCAGAAGUUGGAAACACAAAGGGGGGCAGUCUUGGCUACCGAGUUGAAGAACAAUGCGAAUAAGUUGGCUAAAUGGACUGCUCAAUCAAUAUUAGCUAGUGCCGAUUUGAUGAAAUUGGGUUAUGUUUCGAGGGUUCAUCCUAGGGAUCAUUUUAACCAUGUGAUAUUGGGUGUUGUUGGUUAUAAGCCAAGGGAUUUUGCUGCACAAAUUAAUCUGAAUACUGCUAAUAUGUGGGGGAUUGUGAAGUCCAUUGUGGAUUUGUGUAUGAAGUUGAAUGAGGGGAAAUAUGUGCUUGUGAAGGAUCCAUCAAAGCCUCAAGUUAGGAUUUAUGAGGUCCCAGCUGAUGCUUUUGAGAACGAUUAUGUGGAAGAACCAUUGCCAGAAGAGGAGCAGGUUCAGCCACCUGCGGAGGAUACUGAAGCUGGGGAGCCGAAUGGCACUACAAAUGAUGUUGAGGCAAAAGAGACUGAGACACAAACUUAAUGGUAAUGGUUCCUUGGGAUUUUUCUUAAUAUAUUCCUCUGCAUUUUGUGUUGUGCCACUAGACUAUUAUCUCAAAGACUUCCAUGCAAGUUAAUUUCCCUUAUUCUUAUGUUAGUACUUGGCAUGUUGUAUGGAUCCAAAUAUUAUUGAGUUAACCACAGUGUGACAGUACCACAUACUAGUAUUUAUAACUUGAUUUUCUUUCUUUUUUUAAUAUACAAAUCGUUUGUAAUCAUAUGAAACUUGGCUUUUCAUGUUAUCUUAUCCUCCCUUAAUGAUGUUCAAUUUUCUUUUCUAUUUUACCAUUGCUCAUAAAAUUUUAAGAGGUUAGAAUUGUUUAGCCACUUCCCUACAACAUUUUGUUCAAUUCGAAAUCCUUCAAAUCUAUACAGUUCAUCUGGGGUUAUUGGAAAUAUCUUUUUGAUUUGGUGGUAUGUUGUAUGGCAUGCAAAUUUCAAAUUUCAAGAACUUUAUUAGUUGCUUAUGAAUUGAAGCAACCAUUUGUUUUGUGGAGCAACUCUUCAUUGUUCUACUUGCUAUAUUGUGUGGAUGCUUUGUCUUUCAUUGUCUGCUUGCUAUGUCAGUUGUGUCUUAUGCUUGCGGUUUUCAGUGUUGAUUGCUAGAGCUUAUUGGUGAUUAAGGAGGACAACAAUCCAGGGGAUGUUAUCGCCUCAAAAGGACCACGUUUGAAGCUCAAAAUUAGUCCAUUGUAUUUUUCUUUCUUAGCUAUUUUUGUGAAUCUGCAAGCCGACUUGGCAACAUGUGCGGGCAGAUUUUAUAGGAGCAUUUAUUCAACUUUUGAAAGUGAUAGAUAAGUAUGCUUUGAAGCUUUCAUGCAGGUCAAGAACUGUGAUACCGAGUUUACAAGGCUUUUGCAUUUUCAUAUUCUCUUUUAUCUGGAGGCUGUUUCUUUUCCUGGAGUGUUAUGAACUUCGCAUUCUUUAAAUGUUAUAAUUUUGGUCAUCUGAUUCGAGUUACUCUUAACACUACUUUUGGAUUAAAAGAGUGGAAAGCUAAAGAAAGUAAGUGAUUAUAUCUCAUGGGUUGGGUUAGGUCAGAUUCAAGUUGGGUUAAUGUAAUGUAAGGAAUUUAGAUUAAUUUUUCAAGUUCGAGUUUAGCCUGAUUUGAAAAAUAGGUUUAAAAUUUUGCUCAAGUUAAAAAAAAAAAAGUAAAUAUGGAUCUGACUUGGUUUGCUCAUAUUUUAUUUUAUUUUUUUAGAUUAAUUUUUUAUUUAAAAAUAUUUUUUUUGAAAAAAUAAUAUACUAAAUGCACUAAAAAUAAUAAAAUAUAAGUUUUUUAAUACAUUAAAAAUACAUUAAAAAAGCAUUUAUAUUAAAAAUAUUAUCAUAAAUAUAAUAAUUUUUUUAUCAUGUUAAAAAAACAAAUAUAUAUAAUAAAUAUUGCAUUAAAUAUAUAUUUUAAAAUUUUAUAUUUGAGUUGGAUUAUUUUAUUGGGUAAUUUUUUUUUUUGGGUUUUGAAUAGUAAUUUAAUUUUUAUUGGAUUAAUAAUUGAAUAUAAAUAUAUAAUUAUUAUUUUAUAUAAUUAAUUUUUAUAAUAUAAUAUACUUGUGUUGGGUUGGGUUGAGUUAGGCUGAAUAUGACCUUAAAUUUUACUCAGUUUAUUUUUUAGAUAUCAUGUUUUUGUCUUUAAACAUUUUUUAUUUUCAAGCAGGGCUUUGAAUUCAGUUAAGUGAUUUGACUCAUAAACAAGUCUAGUUUAAAUAAAAGAGUAAGGCUGAGUUUGGAUGGACGGUAAGAUGCGUUGUGCUGCGUUUAGCUUAUUUUUUUCUCAUGCUACAGUAUUGUUAUAGUAUCUAAUUUCACCGUUAUCGUUAUUUUUAUACUAACCGUAGGUAAAUGCACCACCCAUUCAAAGCUACUCUAAUUUAAUAUUUUUGUUUAGAUAAAUAAUUGACAGGAAAGGAUUAUAAUUUGUAUAAUUAUAACUUUUCAUAAAUUUAUUUAUGGUAAAUUAUAUUAUAGGUCACCCAAUUAUGCUCAGAUGUUUUUUCUUUUUUGUCAUCAAAGUUUUAAAACUUUUAAAAUUAUCACUCAACUAAUCAGAUUUGUUCUUUUUUUAUCCAUUUUUUGUUGGUGAUAUGAUAAUCCAAUAGUAUAAUAAUAAAUUUAGUUCUUAAUUUUUACAUAUUAUACCAAUUUAAUCAUAGUUUUAAAAAAAUUACCCUCGGCAUUACAAAUUUUCUCAAAUUGCUCUUAAUUCUUAAAAAAUAAAAAAUAAAAAUACACAUAUUUUCAAAAAUAUAAUAAAUUUUAAAAAAUGUAUAAAUUACAUUGUAUUUUAUUUAAAAUAAUAAAUUAAUCUAAAGCCCUAAGAGCAAACCCUUCUUCAUACAGAUGAUGGUGGUGAUGACGAGAAGCCAAAGCUAAAGCACCAUGGAACGAGCGAGGAGUAGAUUUUGCAGGUGGAACUGAAAGCGUGCACCCCGUGAAACAUUAAGGUUUGAAAGUUGGCCCAUAUAGUACCAGUUCCGGUGGCGGCAAUUAUCGCCGGUUCAGCCUGUUGUAAAAGUCAUUCAAUGAAUUACUUUCAUGUUUGGGUAUCUCGUGUCGUAUUUUUUUAUUUAAAUUGUGACUAAAUUAACAUAAUAUGUAAAAAUUAAGAAUUAAAUUUAUUAUUAUACUCAAUUUUGGACUGUCACCUCACCCUUCUGUCAAAUAGUUAAUGUCACUAAUCGAAGAUAGACUAAAAAGAAUAAACUUGAUUAGUCAUGUGAUCAUUUUGAAAGUUUUAAAAAUUGAGUAACCAAAAAAAAUAUUUAUGUAUAGUUUAGUGACCAGCAAUGCAAUUUACCCAAUUAUUUACAAAAGACUAAAAAGACAUUCUACACCUUAAAAUUUUGUUUUACUUUCCUUUUACUAGUUUUCCUCCCCCAAAUUAGAGUAAAUAAAAAUAUUUAAAUUGGGAAAAUAAAGAAAAUAUUUUUAAUUAGUGUAAAAUAAUAUUUGCAAAUUGAAAUGUUGGAUAUAAUUAAAAUAUAUUAACUUGUUUAAUAAUUUAAUCAUUAUAAUAAAAAUUUAAAUAUAAUUAAAGCAUUUUCAUUGUUUAUAAUGUAUAACAAGCCCAAAUAUGCCCAGGCCCAAACCAAUAAACAGGCCCAAUUAACAGCCCAAAACCCAAAUUAACCUAGCCCAAACAUUAAAAUUUCAGAAACCCUAACAGCAUUUGCCCGCAACCGCCGCACAUCCUAACAACAGCCCCGCACAUGUCGCGCACGUUCGCCUCCACGUUGACUGGCCGUACCUGCAGCAACAAGCAAAAGCAAACAACAACAAAAUAAUAGGAAUAACAGAAUAUAUUUGGUUUGAUUUUUUUUUCUUUCUUCUUUCUCAUUUUCGGCUAUAAAAGCCCAAUUCCAGGCAUUUUAAAAGAGGGGGGCAAAUUCAGUGUAAAAGACAUACGAAAAUAGAGAGAAAAGAUUGAAAUACAAGGAAAAUUGAAGGUUAAUCGCGUUUAUUCUAUUUUCAUUUUUACUUAUUUUUUUCUUUUCUUUUUAUUUGUUUUGUGAAAUAAUAGUAUAAAAGGGGAAAAGAGAGACUUACCCAGUGGUCGCGUUCUAUUCUCCGUCUCGACCGGAGGCCAGGACGGUGAUUGAAGCCGUGGGAGGUUCAUGAACGGCGGCUCCAAAGGGUUAGAGAAACCCUAAGAGAAGCAGCACUGCUUUAGAGGAAAAACAAAAUUUUUUCCCUAAUUUUUUUUCUUUUUUUAAAACUUAAAAUAGAACAAAGAUGGCGCCGUUUAGUUUGGGGGUCCGCGCAUAUCAACCUUAAAUGGGAGAAUUGCGCAAUAAGUCUUCCCCCUUUGCGCCAUGUUUUAUUAAGCCAGUUAUUUCUUUUUAAUUUGGCCCAAAUGUUUUACCUUGUUUCAAAUCGGUCCCCAUUGCGGCGCAGCGGUUUAGGGAGCUGGAUUAUUUCGAUUUGGGCCCCCUCAUAUAAUGCGUGUGUUGCAAAUUGGUCCCUGUUCUAUUUUAAUUUCAUUUUUUGGUUAUUUUGUUUUUUCUCAAUUCGUUUUUUUUUAAAUUGUUACUUUUAAAAUUAUUGCUAUAUUAUCUAUUAUCAUUUAUUACUAUUUCUAUAUUUAUACACGCAUUUUUUAUAUAGUAUAUAUAUAUAUACAUAUUUCUUUAUAUAAUAUAUAUAACUUUUAUGAAUGCAUGCAUUUUACAUACGUUUUAUUUUUUAUCUUUUGUAACCUUUAUAUACUUUAUAUAUAUUAUAUAUAUAUACUUAUACAUUUCUUUUAUUUUGUAAAUAUAUACACAUGUACAUACUUUUAUUUUUAUUUAUUUUAUUUUCAUAAUUCUUACAUGUACAUAUAUAUAUAUAUAUUUCUAUAAUAUGUACGUACAUGUUUUUUUUAGAAAUUAUUACAAGUCUUUUGCUUUACAUGUUUCAUUCCUGUUUAUAUGUAUACUAAUAUAUGUGGGUUUAAUAUAUGUGUACACAUAUUUGCAAAUUUACUUGUAAAUUGUAUGUACUUGUAUAUAUAUAUUUUGUAAAUAUUUAUUCAUAUAUGUUUUUAGAGUUUUUGUUUCAUAUUAUGCAUUAACUUUUAACAUGCCUUUUGGGAAAUAUAUUUUGGUUUUAUCAGUAUAUCAAAACCAUUUUCUCUUGAUUCGAAGUUUUUUUUGAAUAAAAGCAAUAUUCAAAGUUUGAGAUUUUCAAGGAAAUUGAGCCCUAACGUAUUGGGUUCCGAUUUUCUUUGUUAAUCUAAAAUAACCGAGAAUAUUCUUUAUUCAAAAUGUAUGAGAAUAAAAAUCAUUUUCGGGAACUUAACUUGUUGUGUCCUAAUGUAUUGGGUGUGACAUGUUACUUUCUCAAAAUGAAGAUUUUCGCAUAAAAUAAAAGUGGUAUUCAAAGUUUGGGGAUGUUGAGAAAUUGUACCCUAAUGUAUUGGGACUCGAUUUCUUUACAUGACUUGAACAAUUGAUUAUCCUUUUCAGAUUUCAUCAUUUGAGUUGUUUUUAAAAAACCUUUUUUAGCCCUCGACACUAAGACAUUAAAUAAUUAAUUUGGUACCAAUUUUGGGUGUUACGAGGGUGCUAACCCUUCCUCGUGCGUAACUGACUCCCGAACCUGUUUUCUCAAAUUUCAUAGACCAAGACACGUUUUAAGGUAAGUUGAUCACGCCUCAAUAAAGGAUCGGUGGCGACUCCAGUUUUAUCUUUAAAGUCGACAACUAAAUUUUUGUUUUCAAAAUGAUGGUUUUGACAGCUUGGCGACUCCGCUGGGGACACUAGAGAGUCGAGCCGUGAAUUGGUUAUGUUUUGUCUUUUUGUCGAAAAUCAAAAGUUUUUUAAAAAUCAUGAUUUCCCUGUGCAUUCAUUUUCAUCAUGAUAUGUUUGCAUGAUUGGACCAAGUUGGUUGAUCUGUAUUUGCUUUUUGCAUAGCAUGGUCAGUUUUACCCCUUUAAGUGGGAGCGAGAAACUAGUCCUUCGUGAGGUUUUCACCUCCGUGCAGGGUAGUGGACCGCUUCCGGGAUACAUUCGUACAUAUGCCUUCGUGAGAUUUUCAUCUCCGUGCAGCCAUAGGGAAAUGUAUUCCCCUGAACUGAACUCGAUCCAUGUGAGCCUAUAAUGGGUAAGGAUCGAGGAAUCUGCUAGUUCGGGUACCUUUGCUCUAGAAGUCAAACCUCAUAUAGUGAACCUUAGGAACUCACCCUAGGUAGAACUACAUUGAACCCUAGUAGAUACCCGAAUAGGUGUUUUAUUAUUUCCAAUUAUAUUGGAUUCUAUUUUUAUACCUAAUACUAACUUGUUAUGUUUUGUUUUGGCUGCAUGACAUUUUGACCGUAUUGCAUUUCAUCAUAGAAAAGAGGUGUUGAUUCACGUUCGGUUGCUAAAUAGAGAGCUUGUCAUGGAAAAUGGAUUUCUUGAUAAAGUGGAAAAUAAUACGGUUCUCCGAAUAUAGUCCAAGAAAGCGUGAUACGAGAAGUGUAACAAGAGGAGUAUACGACUUUGCUGCGUUGAUUCAAGAUUAGCACAUAUUAUUCAAGAGUCGUCAAACAUCCCAACCUUUUUAAAGAAACUAAUGAACGUGAGUGAGCAAGGAGUUACGACCUAGAUCAAACAAAAAGGAGCUCAAAUUCGCGAGAUGCAUCUUAAUAUCUGAAUGGUCGAUGUCUUUGCUUGGAGUACGAGGGCGAAGCCAUAUAUAUAUCUGCUUUGUGUAAAGAGAUUUAUUUUCUAGAGAAGUUUUUCUAGUAAAGAAUUGGACCAGAAUUAACGUCUCUUUUGCAUUCAUUUCACGCUUUUGCAUUACAUUACAUCAUAUGCAUUAAACACAUUAUAGACCUUUAUUCAAUCCUAAUAAGUCAAAAUCACUGCUCAGUUAACCUGGAAACCAACCAACCAACUCGAGCAAAGAUUAAAGACAUGGAUCAGAGAUUGGAAAAGCUCGAAUAGCACCAGAAAGAAAUGCAAGACCAACUCCAGUUACAAGUGCAGGAGCGGUUAGACAAGAUGCAACGGGAUAUGUCAGAGAAGAUGCAGGAAUCCCAAAACAAUAUGAUGACAAAGUUGACCCAACUGUUGACUGGAGGGGGUGAUAAAGGAAAGGGUCCCAUGGCUGAUAUCGAAGAGGGUAACGAGGAUGAAUCACUAUAUCCUCCAGGCUUUACUCCUCCAUAUGUGCGAACUCAAGCUGAAUAUCCGCACAAAUCUACUGUCAUAAUCAGGCCUCAGCAGUUCCAGGCCGGUGCUUCAAACUUCCAGGCUGGAUCGGGCUCUAACCCUGGAAACCACCAUGCUAAUUUCGCCAUUCUUGAAUUUGAUGAAGUGGUUGAAAAAGAAAGAAUAAAGGAAGAGUUACCAAAGCAGUUAGAAGAAAGGUGCAAAUGGCUCGAGGAGAAAUUCAAGGCGAUGGAAGUCACUGAAAGCUAUCGUGAGAUUGAUGCUAAAGAGCUAAGUUUAGUUCCGAAUUUGGUACUCCCUCAUAAGUUCAAGAUGCCAGAAUUCGAAAAGUACAAUGAAACAAGUUGCCCAGAAGCACAUAUCACCAUGUUCUGCAGGAGAAUGGCUGGAUAUGUUAACAAUGACCAGCUAUUGAUUCAUUGUUUCCAGGAUAGCCUCACAGGGGCAGCAUCUAAAUGGUAUAAUCAACUGAGUCGUAUCGUGAUUGGUUCAUGGAGGGAUUUAGCACAAGAAGCCCCAUUCAUUACGCAUAUGUUAAGAAGUGCUACAAAGAGCUUUUCUGACAUAGUUAUGAAUAGUGAAAUGAUCGAAAAUGCUAUAAGGAACAGGAAAAUUGAUGUAGAGGAGAGUAACAAGAGGUCAGUCUCAAGGAGAAGAGAAAAUGAGGUGAAAAACACGGGUUACUCUAAAUCAGUUACUGUGAGUCAGCCAAGAAAGGUGGCUGCUAACCAACAAGGUUCAUCAAGGUAGGAAGCUGGUACAAGACAAAACACUGAGAGGCCGCAAUUCACGCCAAUUUCGGUGUCAUAUAGGGAGCUAUAUCAAAGUUUUUUUGAUGCACAUGUUGUUUCCCCUUUUUAUGUGAAGCCUCUACAACCUCCGUACCCCGAAUGGUAUGAUACGAACGCACAAUGUGCUACCAUAUGGGAAUUACAGGACACUUGAUUGAGAAUUGCACUACCUUCAAGAAACUAGUUGAAAGACUUAUCGACAUGGGUGUUGUCAAGUUUGGUGACUCAUCAAGUCCAGAAAAUCCGUUACCCAAUCAUGAUUGAUGAUGGAGGGAAUGCAAUAUAAGUGGUGAGAAAUUUGCACAUCGAUGUCAUAUAUGCAGACAUAAUUAAAAGGGUCCUUGUUAGAUAUUUGCCUGAGAGGUGUUAUAAAUAAUGGACUGCAGAGGAAACCCCUAUAUUACUUAGAGUCUGAUAAAGUAAUGUUCAGAACACACUUGUUGCUUUUAGCCUAAAAGCAAUAAGAACUUCUUUGUGAAAUAGGCUCAUGUCUGAACAUUAUUAUUUUAAUGAAAUACAUCAUUGCAAUCAUCUUCGAGCAAAUGUUCUUUCAUUCUUUACGAUUCUUUCAUUCUUUUGGAUUUUUUCUGCCAAAUCAUUCUUUCAUUCAUAAUCAUAUUAUCUAUAAAUUCAUAAAUUCUUUGUAUAUUCCUUAGCACCUACAAUAGGUCCCUGGAUAUCAAUGACAUGAGUGACGCUGCUACAGACUCAUAAUCUCCUCUUGAGUGAAACAUGUGUUUAGAGGGAUCUCAUGACUUUGAAGAUGACAUAGAUUGUAGCUUAUCUCCUAACUUGUUGAGGAUGGUAGAGCAAUAAGAAAACAAAUUUACCUCAUGAGGAGACAAUGGAGACUGUGACCUUGAAGAAACAUGUAUGACCGAAGAAACAAAGUAAGACGCUAUUGAGUUACUUCAAGAAUUCAAAAAUGUCUUCGUAUGGUCAUACUAGGAUAUGCCCGGGUUAAGCACUGUCGUUGCAAUCUGAACAACAGCACGAUAUCAGAAAUUUACAGUAUGCUUAAGAUUAAUAUCAUGAAUGAUGCAAUAAAAACUCUACUGGAGCAGUGCCUCUCUCUUUAGUUCAUCACGAUUUUUUCUAUUGAAGUCAAAGUUCUUUUUCUCCGAGUAUUGGCUGAGCAAGUUGGAUGAGCAAAACGGAUUCAAUCGCGAUGUGAUCAAUUGAACUUGAUAGAAGGAAAAAGGCUAAAAGCUAUUCAUCACGGUCAGAUGUACCAGAAAUGAAUGAUGCGAGCCUAUAACAAAUGUUCAUCCCAGAGAAUUCCACGAGGGUGACCAAAUGUUGAACAUCUUCCCUCUACAAUAAAAUUGUUUUGGAGGGAAGCGGAUGCCAAAUUUGGAAGAACCUUAUGUUACAGAGACGAUUUUUCCAAAGGAGCUUUGAUUUUGAGCGAGAUGGAUGAUAAGUCCUGUAAACUCAGAUUCAGUCAGGAAAUACUCCGCUUAAAGAAGGAGAUGACUAAGGUAGAAAACCCGCAAAGGGGCACUUUGAGUCGUAAAAAUGAUGAAAUGAAAAAAUGAAAAAGUGAAAAUGAGAAAUGGAAAAUGGAAAAAGAAAAGAAAAUGAGAGACCAAGGCGAAAACCCGCAAAGGGCGCUUUAGACCAAAGGGGAUUUGAGUUGAAAACUCGAAAAGAACGGCUCAAAUAUUGAUCAAAAUGGGGCAUGAGGUAAUCAAAGCAGCUCAAAUACCAUUCAGAGUGGGGCAUACAAUGGUCUUGCUAUACCUGAAUCAACAGGAAAGGGCAGGCGACAUCUUGGGGCAUCGACAAAGUACUAUAGAUCUCCUAAACACAUGUUAAACUCAGAAUGGUCUUCAGAAAGUCUGUACAGAGAAGUUCAAGUUGCGAUAUCUAGGGCACCUAAUCCUUAUACCAUUUUUGUUAUUCUUGGAACACUUCAUUCAUUGACAAGAUACGCAUUCCUAAAUCAAUUUCUUGUUAUCCAUCUUUAUUAUCUUUGAUAAUCUAUUCAUUUCAGAGCCAUGCUCUAAAUCAAUUCUAUUCUUACCCAUUGUUAUGAUCUCUUGCAAGCAUGUUGCAUUUGAAUAAUGAUGAAUGGACUAAUAAAACUUUCACAAAGGAAGUUUUGCAUAUUACUCUAGAAGUUUCUAAAUAAUAUAGGAACCUCAAAUAGGACUAUUGUUUAGAACGCACCAGGUUAAAGGUUGGAAAUCUAAUAAGGAAGAGUCUAAAUUAAGACUAUCCCUUUGAAUUUUGUUGUCUAAAUCAUUGAUUGAAAAACGACAAGAUGUCGUGUUGGUGAUAAAGCUUAAAUGAACAAGCAAGUAAUGAUCACCGAAUAAUAAGAAGAAGUUGUUCUUGGAGAAGAAUAUUCUUCAUUUGUGCAUGAGCAUUUGGUAUGACUCCCUAGAAAUGGUGAAAAUGACAAAAGAGCUUCACAUUCUACAUCCUUGAAUUGUGAUAGUGAAAGAUUGAGAAAAGGCCAGAUUUUUUUUUUACUCUUGAGUUACCACGAGAGAAAGAUGAUACAGAUUUUGUGUUCCAAUGGAUUGAAAUUUGAAGUUCACAGUGGAGGGCAAUUUGAUUAAGUGUUUUUCGGAGAUGCUAGCUGAGCAAAAAGGUGUUAUAGCACAUUAGUGAGGAAACCUUAAUAAACUUUGAGUAAUAAUAACUCAAGCAUUAAAAUAUUAUUUUCAUGACAUUUUGCAUUCAUUUAAAUGACAUUCAUACACGUCUAGUUAGAAGCAUUUGAUUCAUUCUAAUCAUGACAUCCUUAAUCUCUAGGCAUAAUCAGGUUCAUCAUACAGGUCAUGUUUCACAGAAAACAUAUCAGUAAAAUCAUAAAGCCUUAUCCCCCUGAGCAACAGUGGAGCUGGCUAAAAAUCAGCAGAUCUUGUCUUCAUGUAUUGGCGUGAAGUAGAUCAAAGAUAGCAGAUCUUGUCUUCCCAUACUGGUGGUGAAGUAGAUCAAAGAUAAUGGAUCUUAUCUUCAUGUAUUGACAUGAAGUAGAUCAGAGAUAGCAGAUCUUGUCUUCAUGUAUUGAUAUGAAGUAGAUCAGAGAUAGCAGAUCUUAUAUUCAUGUAUUGACAUGAAGUAGAUCGAAGAUGAUGGAUUUUGUCUUCAUGUAUUGACAUGGAGUAGAUCAGAGAUAGCAGAUAUUAUCUUCCCAUACUGGUGGUGAAGUAGAUUGAAGGUAAUGGAUCUUGUCUUCAUGUAUUGACAUGGAGUAGAUCAGAGAUAGCAGAUCUUGUCUUCAUGUAUUGACAUGAAGUAGAUCAGAGAUAGCAUAUCUUAUCUUCAUGUAUUAACAUGAAGUAGAUCGAAGAUAAUGGAUCUUGUCUUCAUGUAUUGACAUGAAGUAGAUCAGAGAUAGCAGAUCUUGUCUUCAUGUACUGGCGUGAAGUAGAUCGAAGAAAGCAGAUCUUGUCUUCAUGUACUGGCGUGAAGUAGAUCGAAGAAAGCAAAUCUUGUCUUCCUGUACUGGUAGUGAAGUAGAUCAAAGAUAACAGAUCUUGUCUUCCCAUACUGGUAGCGAAGUAGAUCGAAGAAAGCAGAUAUUGUCUUCAUGUAUUGGCGUGAAGUAGAUCGAAGAUAGCAGAUCUUGUCUUCCCAUACUGGUGGCGAAGUAGAUCGAAAUACCAGUCUUAUCUCCUUGAAGUUGCAGUGGAGCAGACAGAAGAAACCAAUCCUAUCUCCUUGAAGUUGCAAUGGAGUAGAUUAAAACCACAGAUUUCAUCUCUUUGGAGUUGUAGCAGAGCAGAUCGCAUCAGAUUUAUUUUUAAGUUGUAGCAUAACAAGUUGAAGCUAUAAGUCUUAUCUCCCUGAAGUUGCAGUGGAGCAGAUUAAAGAUAGCAAAUUUUGAAGCUACAGCAUACGAAUCCUAUAUCCCUGACAUUCCAGUGGAGUAGAUCGAAACGCUAGUUCCUGUACCUCUGAAGAUACAGUAGGAAGGAAUGAGGCUACUAGAAGAAAGGCACUGAAUAAGUUGAGGCUCAGUAAGACCAGACACAAUUGGGCUUUUGGUUUUUGCUCUAUUCUCGUUACACGACAAUGAGCAAAGAGGGGCAGCUGUACAAGCCCAAAUAUGCCCUGGCCCAAACCAAUAAACAGGCCCAAUUAAUAGCCCAAAACCGAAAUUAACCUAGCCCAAACAUUAAAAUUUCAGAAACCCUAACAGCAUUUGCACGCAGCCACUGCACAUCCUAACAACAGCCCCGCACAUGUCGCACACGUUCGCCUCCAUGUUGACUGGUCGUACCUGCAGCAACAAUCAGAAACAAACAGCAAAUUUUCCCGCAGCCGCCGCACAUCCUAACAGCAGCCCCGCACAUGUCGUGCACAUUCGCCUCCACGUUGACUGGCCGUACCUACAGGAACAAGCAGAAACAAACAGCAACGAAAUAAUAGGAAUAACAUAAUAGAUUUGGUUUGAUUUUUUCUUUCUUAUUUCCCAUUUUCAGCUAUAAAAGCUCAAUUCCAGGCAUUGUAAAAGAGGGGGGAAAUUCAGUGUAAAAGAUAUAUGAAAAUAAAGAGAAAAGAUUGAAAUACAAGGAAAAUUGAAGGUUAAUCGCGUUUGUUCUACUUUCAUUUUUACUUAUUUUUUUCCUUUUCUUUUUAUUUGUUUUGUGAAAUAAUAGUAUAAAAGUGGAAAAGAGAGACUUACCCGGUGGUCGCGUUCUAUUCUCCGUCUCGAUCGGAGGCCAGGACAACGAUUGAAGCCGUGGGAGGUUCAUGAACGGCGGCUCCAAAGGGUUAGAGAAACCCUAAGAGAAGCAGCACUGCUUCAGAGGAAAAACAAAUUUUUUCCCUAAUUUUUUUCUUUUUUUAAAACUUAAAAUAGAACAAAGAUGGCGUCGUUUAGUUUGGGGGUUCGCGCAUAUAAACUUUAAAUGGGAGAAUUGCGCAAUAAGUCCUCCCCAUUUGCGCCAUGUUUUAUGAAGCUAGUUAUUUCUUUUUAAUUUGGCCCAAAUGUUUUACCUUGUUUCAAAUCGGUCCCCAUUGCGGCGCAGCGUUUUAGGGAGUCGGAUUAUUUCCAUUUGGCCCCCCUCAUAUAAUGCGUGCGUUGCAAAUUGGUCUCUGUUCUAUUAUCAUUUUUUUUAAAUUGUUAUUUUUAAAAUUAUUACUAUAUUAUCUAUUAUCAUUUAUUACUAUUUCUAUAUUUAUACACGCAUUUUUUAUAUAGUAUAUAUAUAUAUACAUAUUUCUUUAUAUAAUAUAUAUAACUUUUAUGAAUGCAUGCAUUUUACAUACGUUUUAUUUUUUAUCUUUAUCUUUUUUAACCUUUAUAUACUUUAUAUAUAUAUUAUAUAUAUUUUUAUACAUUUCUUUUAUUUUGUAAAUAUAUACACAUGUACAUACAUUUUCAUAAUUCUUACAUGUACAUAUAUAUAUUUCUAUAAUAUGUACGUACAUGUUUUUUUUUAGAAAUUAUUACAAGUCUUUUGCUUUACAUGUUUCAUUCCUUUUUAUAUGUAUACUAAUAUAUGUGGGUUUAAUAUAUGUGUACACAUAUUUGCAAAUUUACUUGUAAAUUGUAUGUACUUGUAUAUAUAUAUUUUGUAAAUAUUUAUUCAUAUAUGUUUUUAGAGUUUUUGUUUCAUAUUAUACAUUAACUUUUAACAUGCAUUUUGGGAAAUAUAUUUUGGUUUUAUCAGUAUAUCAAAAUCAUUUUCUCUUGAUUCGAAGUUUUUUUUGAAUAAAAGCAAUAUUCAAAGUUUGAGAUUUUCGAGGAAAUUGAGUCCUAACGUACUGGGUUCCGAUUUUCUUUGUUAAUCUAAAAUAACCGAGAAUAUUCUUUAUUCAAACUGCAUGAGAAUAAAAAUCAUUUUAGGGAACUUAACUUGUUGUGUCCUAAUGUAUUGGCUGUGACAUGUUACUUUCUCAAAAUGAAGAUUUUCGCUUAAAAUAAAAGUGGUAUUCAAAGUUUGGGGAUUUUGAGAAAUUGUAUCCUAACGUAUUGAGACUCGAUUUCUUUACAUGACUUGAACAAUUGGUUAUCCUUUUCAGAUUUCAUCAUUUGAGUUGUUUUUAAAAAACCUUUUUUAGCCCUUGACACUAAGACAUUAAAUAAUCAAUUUGGUACCGAUUUUGGUCAUUACGAGGGUGCUAACCCUUCCUCGUGCGUAACUGACUCCCGAACCCAUUUUUUCAAAUUUCGUAGACCAAGACACGUUUUAAGGUGAGCUGAUCACACCUCAAUAAAGGAUCGGUGGCGACUCCAGUUUUAUCUUUAAAGUCGACAACUAAAUUUUUGUUUUCAAAAAGAUGGUUUCGACAUAUAAUACAGUUUUAUUUCAUAAUAAUUAAUGCAAGACAAUAUUACUUAAAAUAAUAAUUAAUUAAUAUAAUUAUAUUAUAGGGAUAAAUUUUAAAAUUAUACAUGAACUUUAAUUCAAUGUGCAGUUUGAUACAUGAAUUUCGAUUUGGUGCAAUUAUACGCAUAAAACUUUGAUUUUGAUUCAAUUACAAACAUUUUAAAAAAUAACUACACCAAUUUAUUUCUAUAUUGGAUAAAUAUAAUUAUAUGUAUAUGCAAUAUAUAAACAUAAAAUGAUGCUAUAUAAAAUUGCACAUUAAACCAAAGUCCAUGUAUAGUUUUAAAAUUUAUGUCUUGUAAUAUAUUAGAUUUAUUGUUUAUAAAAUUUUAUUGUAUAAAUAAUUAAAAUUUGCUAUUUAAAAAAAUAAUAUAUAUAUUUUUCUUUUUCUAUUUUUUUAUUAAUAAUGAAAACAUAAUACUUUAAAUGUAAAGUAAAAUUUUUAAUCCAAUAAACAUAAAGUAAUUUAAUUCACCAUCUAUUAUUGCUCAAAAAAUUAGUAUUUAUUUAAUAAAAAUAUUUUUAAUAGAAUCAAAAAAAUUUAAUCCAUAGAGGUUUUCCUCGACUCAGGUUGCCCAUUUAUAAUUUAACUGCAAUUAAUUUGCAUCUUCUGCCAGUCAUAAUGCUAAAUAUGUAUGGGAGAAUCCGAAUUUUAAAAUUUUAAAAUAUUUUUAAUCUUUGGACUAUUUAAAUUUGAAAUUUAGGUGUUUCGAAUUAUUUUAGGGUUUGAUUACUUGUAAAUUUAAAUAAUUUUUUAUUACUUAUUUAAAUAGAUUUAAAUUUAUUGGAGUUAUUUUAUUUCCUUUCAUUUUUCAAAGAAAAUUAUUUUUAUCUACUUUUUUUUUUCUUUUCUAACCUAAACACGUUACCAAAGAAAUUUAUAUAUAUAUAUAUAUAUAUAUNNNNNNNNNNNNNNNNNNNNNNNNNNNNNNNNNNNNNNNNNNNNNNNNNNNNNNNNNNNNNNNNNNNNNNNNNNNNNNNNNNNNNNNNNNNNNNNNNNNNUUACUUGUAGUGGUAGUGGUAGUGGCGUAUCAUAUUUAGGGGGUUGACAGGUUCCGGUCCCCUUAAAAUAAAAAAUUAUUUAUUUAAAAAUUUAAAAAUUUUAAAUUAAUAAAGGUAAAAUUAUACUUUAAUUCUCUAAAAAUGAUAAAAAUUUAAUUUAAGCCUUUAAAAAUGAUAAAGAUAUAACUAUUAAAAAACAAUUUAAGUUCAGAUCCCCUUAAAAAGGAAUUUCUGAUUUCGACCUUGUUUACUGGUUAAAUAUUCACUUAUUUCAAGAAAAAUUGGAGUUAAAUGAUGGUUAGAGAGAGUAUGAGAGUGGUAUAUGGCAUUGAGGGUAGUGACUCUUCAACACUGCAAACUGAACCAACCUUUUUGAGCCAAAGCUUCACAAAAGAAGUCUUCAACUAUCAUUUCAAUGUCUUCAACCAUCACUUUUCACUUCAUCUGCCCACAAUUACCCGCUAAUCCUUCACUCAACGAUACGCACAUUCGCUAUUUGGAACCUUUAACUUUUCCCUAAAACCAUUUUUUAGGGUUAAUUUAUUAUUUACACCUUAAAUUGCACUCAGUUAUCAUUUUUUUAUUAGUUUGUCAUACCAUUGGUUUGUAUUAUUUUCUUUUGACUAAAUUAAAAAAAUCAGAAAAAAUAGCUAAAAAAAACUCCAUUUUUUUAAAUAAGAAAAAUAUAUAAAAUUCUCAUAAAUUAAAAAGAUUUUUUAUUUUUAUUUUUAAAAAAACAUAAAAUAUAAAAAGAGCGAAAAUACAAAAAAAAAUGUCAAACAAUUUUAGAAAAAUCUCAAAAAAAUAUAUCUAAAAAUCAGAAAAAAUACGAUAAUUAUAAAAAAUUUCUAGAAAUUAAAAAAUAAAAUUUUAUUUUUAAAAAAUACAUAUAGUUCAAAAACAAGAGCGAAGAUACCAAAAGAAAUCUCAAUUUUAUUUAAAAUAUCAUAAAAAGGGAAAAUUUUAAAAGGACUUGAGAACCAGCUGGUACGUUAUCCAAAUUUUGAUAUGUAUAUAAAUUUGUUGUGAUCUGAAUUUUGGCAUAAUGAUUUUUUUGUCCUCCAAUUUUAUAAAAAAAUUAUCUUAAUUUUCUAUUUAGUUCUUUUAGUCUUUAAACUUGUAUUUUUAUCAAAUAAUCUCAAAAUAGAUGAAAAAAUUAAUGUUUGUUAACUUUACUGACGUGACAUACACGUAGACUGCCACAUGGAUGAUAUAUUAGUAUUUAAUUAAUUUUUUAAAUUUAAAAAUGUUAAUUUUUUUCUAUAGUUUUAUACUUUUUAAUAAUUUAAAUAAUUUUUAAAUUUUAAAAAUAAAUUUUUUAUAAUUUUUAAUUUAAAAAAUUAAUUAAAUAUUGACAUGGCACUCUACAUGCAUGUCAUAUUAAUAAAGUUAACAAAUAUUAAAUUUUUCAUUCAUUUUAAGGUGACUUGACAAAAAAAUAUAAAUUUAAGAGCUAAAAAAAUGAAAAGUUAAAUAGAAAAUUAAAAUAAAUUUUUUAAAGAGUAAAGGGCAAACAAAUCUAUGCACCUUGAAUUUUUUUAGGAAUGCUAAGACUGCCAACUAGUUUUCUGGGCCAAUGUUGGGUGUAUAAAAUACUGUUGGCUUGAGCCUUGCAUCAUAUUCUGAUGGUAAACCUCUACUUGAACUGCCAUUUUUCUCCUUGUAAAAUUAAAUUACAUUUAUUCAUGCAUGUGAUAGCCAAUAAAGUAUUUUUGGAUCUCCACCCGGAAUUUAGUAUGCCUAAAUUUGUGUGAAGAAUAGCGCAAACAAUUAAAGAUAGAAGUAAAUAACAAGUAACCAAAAUCAAAGCUAUGGAGAUUAGUAAGUCAAUGAACAGCUCUUCUUGAUGAGUGCCACUUCUAGAAAACAACUAUUUUUUGUUUGCCAAAGAAAGUAGCAUAUGCUGAUGGAUAUACUUAAACAAAGAUUGCAUUAAUGCACCUAGGAACAAGUGUCAUAUAAUUUUGUAAGGAGGUUAGGGAAUCCAAGCUUUACCUAAAGAAAGAGCACAAUAUUUUAUAAACGGUCCGAUCUCCACCAAAUCUAAUUUUGUUUUUUGUUUUUUAAAUAUACUUUAUAUCUUUCUAAAGUUUAUCAAACAACUAUUUGCUUUGGCCAAUUUUGGAGCAAUAAGAUUAGUUUUUCCAUUAUCGUAAUUCCUAAUAUAUUACCGAAAAAUUAAGUAAGUACUAUAAUCCCCAUUUUAAUGUGUAAAAAGGAGAUUCAAAAUAAAAUUUUUUAGCAAUAGUCAGAGAGGGAGAGAAUUACCGCUGGGAAAGAAUGUAGUUAGUAGUAGAUGGGAGCUGGGUGGACGACACGCAUAGGAGAUCAUCUUAGAUUUAACCUAACUUAAUAGGUAUAUAUAUUAGGGGUAAUUUUGUAAAUAUAGUGGGAUGAGACGAGAUAAGUUUACUCUGUAACACUUUAUACCCGACUUUAUUUACCGGAUCCAAAUAUAGGAUGUCACGAUACUUACAUACUUAAUAAAAUUAUACAACUAGCGAAAAUUAUAUUGGAUGUACUUAUUAUUAUUUUUUAAAAUCUUUUCCAAGUCAAAAAGAUUUGAAUGAAACGUUUAUUAUUUAUAACAGUCUCUUAAAAGCAGUACAAAACAUUACAACUUAAAUAUUUGAUAAGACAUGCAUAUUCGUGGUGUAUAAUACUAUUCGCCAUUUGAAAACAUAUUCCUCAAAGUAUCCCUUUGUAUGCAUAAUAUCGCACUAUGAUCAACCACCUUAGCGCAUUCCUGACUUGGUCCCUUCUGGUAAACUGGUUCAACUCAAGAACCUGCAUUACAAAUAAACACUCAUAAGUUUAAUGGAACUUAAUGAGUCUCAACCAGUUUUACCUUUUAACACCACUGAAGAAAUCAUCAACUUUAAGAUCUUGGAUUUCCUUUCAGACCUUGGCUGAAACUUUUCUGAUUUUUAGUUGGCAGAUAACUAUACGCCAAUCUCUACACUUGAACACCUUAUAGAUAGUUCAAUUGACUGGAGGAUCACAGACUUCACACCAUAGUUCGAAUCUAUUACACAAUCUUUUUGAAGAUAGUUGUUGGAUAUAAACUCCUCAUAAUGAUAUUUAUAUGGAUACUACUCCUAACUGAUUCUCCUACUAACUUUGGCAACUAUCAAAACGCCGUUCACACCGAAUCUUCAAAUUAAUCCAGACAAAUGUACUUACUCGGAUGAAUGUAUUAUUUUAGACCAUCCCAUAGAAUUCCAAAUAACUUUGAUACAUAACAUGAAAAUAUCCUGGUUCAAUGAACUUUUACCCCACUGUACCUCCGGAUACACCAAAUUCUCCUUCCUGGUGAAUUACUAAGGGAGAUUCCUCGGUCAAAUACACUACUGAGAAUUCAUUUAGAAAAUUAUUCAAAUGCAUACCCAGAUUUCACUGCAAUGGCGGUCUAACCACUUGCCACUUAGGCGUUACAGAAUUCGUUAUACAUGUUUUUCAUACAAUACACCACAAAGACUUUUUAGAUAAUUCGCCACAAAGGCUUUACAGAUAACUCACCACAAAGGCUUUUCAGAUAAUUCGCCAUAAAGGCUUUACAGAUAACUUACCACAAAGGCUUUUCAGAUAAUUCGCCACAAAGGUUUGCCACCAAGGUACCACAUAAACUUUUGUGCUUGACGAUAUAGAUUUGCUUAAACUUAGCAUCACCUGAAGUUUGCCCAUCAUUACCCCCGGGAUACGCAAAAACCCCAGUAAACAAAUGCGGCUCAUUUGUCAUUCCCAAAAUGUGUCAUGGCCAUGGUCUUUUCAGAUAUCUGCCAUAUUGACAUUUUCUUGUUUUUACUGUCCCUACAGACCUUGUGUUUAUGGUCCUGAUAGACUACAUUUCUCCACACUGACCUUCAUGUUUAAUGUCCUAGUAGACGUUAUCAAAACACCACUGCGAGGUUCGUUAUCAUAUCACAUACUAUUCCGACACUCCACCAAAGCCCAUUAUCGCCAACCAUACUGGUCAUGCAUCACUCAAAUAACAUAAUGAACACAUUUACACAGAUUUCGCUCAUAUUCUCAACAAAAUCAUAUCUUUUAACACAUAAUUUCUCAUUCAUGCUUACCAUACAUUGUCAUAUUCAUGGAGUGCAUCAUACACUUCAGUACAUGCAUACAAGUGUUUCACAAAAAAUAUACAAAAUACAUGCAUACUACAACUCCUGAAGAAGAUAUGCUUAUCUAUAUAGAUGCCAAUCAUGCAAAGAAUCAUUGUAAUAUAACGUGUAGGUGACAUGCCUAGUGACUCACCUUUACUUCAGUCUAAAGCUUCUAUUUCAAUCAUCUGUCCCAAUCCAAUAGCAACAAUUACUUUUAAAAUCAUGGAAUUUCCAUUAGAAUCUCUAUUUACAAAUAGUUUACUAAUGUUUCAACUACAUACGACCCCAAGUAUUGCCUUCCACUCUCACCCUACUGUUCUUACAUUCUUAUUCCUCAACAUUCGUAACAUAUAGAACUAUAAGAAUUAUCAGAAGGUCGAAUCAUCCACUGAUUAAAUGAAAUCUUAGCUCUACCUUAAUGAAGAAGAAGAAGAAUAAAACAUUUAGGUUUGAAGGAAGAACUAGAACGUUGGGCAAAAAGAAAAGCCAUGUAGUAUGACAUCCUUAAUUACCUUAUUAAAUAGGGAUAUAGUGACCCCUUUAAAUAGGUUAAGAUUAGAGUUCUAAUCAUACUAAAAUAGCCCUAGAGUAUUUAGAGUUUGACUAGAAAAAGAUAGCAGAGUUUAAUAGGAGAAGAAAAGUGUUUGUGGGAAACACGUUGCAAUGUCCUUAUUUGUGUCAUUACAAUGUCGUCCGUCAUUGCAAUGUCUAAAAGCUUCUCCUUGUGACGUUGUCUGCUAACUUUGGUAAGUUCCUGCAAACUAUCCAAUAAAUGCAAGGCACACCCUACAAAUCUUCACAUUGACUCGUAUUUACCACACCUUAUUAUCCGGGCCCUGUCAAGGGCUGAACCUGAUCUUUGCAGAAUGUCAACCAAGCCCAAAUCGUUCUCAAACUUGGAAACCAAAAGACUCAUAAUCUUUAAAUCAAGGUUGUAUAAUGCAACAAGUGUUAGUGAUACACGAACUGACAUCUGCUUCACAAUAAGAGAGAAAAAAUUAAGGAAAUCAACUCCCUUCACUUGAUUGUCACCCUUUUGCGACCAACCUUGCUUUAAACACUCUGCUUUAUCCAACUCUGCUACAAUCUAAAAUCAGUGAUUCCAUCAAACUUCUCAAUAUCAAAAUUCAUUAUUGCCAUCGCUGAAUGGGUCAAUUACAAAAAUGUAGCUUUGUUCUUAUACCAAUUUAUUAGGGAUCGACCCUGUAAGACCCAAUUUUUACUCGGCCUCGCAUACACAAAAUAAACAAAUAAAAAUGAUAAAAAUGGCAGUCCAAUAGUGGCCCAAACAUUAACCCAACCCUAGCUCAUAACAUAAACAGAUCACAAAAAAACCCUAGCCUUUUUCAGCAACCGUCGCCGCCCCAGCCACGCGUCUCCUCCACGUCACCACCAUAUGACCUCUGUACCUGCAAGAAAUAGUAACACGACAACAAAAAAAAGAAAAAGAAAAAAGUUGUAAUUUUUAGGCUAUAAAGCUCUAAAAAAUAGUGUUAUAGUUUUUUACGGAGAUUCAAUACAAAAAUAAAAAAAAUUCAAAAAAACAGAAAGAGAUUCAAAGGUAGUUUAUUUUCUUCUUCGUUAAUCUUAUUUUUGUUUACGUUUGUUUUUUUAGAAAUAAACACAAAGUACAAAAAAGAGAUUGAACCUUACCCUUUUUUUGGUGCUUGCACCGCCAUGGGAGGUCGAGGUUCAUCGUUUUCGAUAAAAAACGACAUUUUUAGACCAAGGGAGUUGAAAGUCCCCAAAAAAUGCCCUUUUUUCGGUUUUUCGGCCACCGCAGAUGGCGGCGCUAUUGUCGGUGACUGGCGGUUGCCACGGUGGUCCGACACCAAAGCCAUGGCCGGAUUUUUGAAAGAAGGGGGGUUUGAGAGUGUUUUUUGACUUGUUUUUAAAAGAAAAGAGGAGAAAUAAAAGUUUUUAAAUUUUUUUUUGGUUUUAUAGAAGGUUGAAACGGCGUCGUUUUGAGCCUUAAUUCCAGUGGCCAAAACGACACCGUUUUGGCCUUAGCUCCCCUCAACCCGCGCGUCGACCCGAUCCAGGGGGAGGAUCCACGUGUUUUGCUUCAACAGGAUAUUUACGCGUGUGAUCCCUCCGCUUUUGCGAUGGUUUGCAAUUUGGUCAUUUUUCUUUCUUUUCUUUUUCUUUUAAUUUUGCCUCGCAUUUUAUUUUCAUUUCAAUUCGGUCUGUGUCAAGACGCUCGUUUUGGGAGGAUGAGGAGUAUUUCCCAAUUAGUCCCCCAUGUUAUUCGCGUGUUGCAUAUUUGCCCUUCAAUUUUAUUUUAUUUUAUUAUUUUCUUUCUGAUUUUGUUUUAAAUUCAAUUUAAUCCCUACUUACCCAAUCACAUUAUUUAAGCUUUAUUUAUUAAUUUAUUUAGCUAUUUGUUAUCCUAUAAUUUUUAUUGAGUUCUAAAUAUUAAAUAUUGUUUUUCAUAUUUUUUAUAUACAUAUUAUUUAGUUUAAACCAUUUAUUUUAUAUGUUAUUUUAAAAUUAGUUUAUUUUUGAUUUAUUUUAUUUAAAAAUUUCUCUUAUAUAUAUAUAUAUAUAUUAUAUUAAACUUGUAUAUGAUUAUUUUAACUUGCUUUAUAGAUUAUUUACAUUAAGUUGCUUUAUAUAUUAUUUUAUUUUAAGCUAUUUUAUAUAUUACUUAUUUUAAAAUUAACCUAUACUAUUUGCUUUAAAUUGAUUUAUAUUAACUAUUUAAAACAUGUCUACAUAUAUUGUUUACUUAGUUUUAUCACUUAUUUUAAUUGUUCUGCGUGUCUAUUUUUAAACUUUAUUUUAUUAUAUACUUAGUUUAUUUCAACUCUUUUUAUAUAUAAUUAUUCUUUAUAUUAAGUUUUUCAUCCCAUAUGUAUUACUUAUUUAAAUUAAUAUAUGUAUAUUAUUUUAUGUAUUUGAUUUUCUUAUAUGAUAUUUAUUUUAAAAUUUAUUUGGAUACUAUUAUUUUAUGUAGUAUUUAUUUUUAACCAUAUUUUUAAUUUAUUUCAAAUUUUCAUAUAUAUAUUAUUUAUUUUAAAUUUAUUUUAAUAUAUAAUUUCCCUUCCUUCAUGUUAUUUGUUUUUUUUUUAAAAACUUGUUGCAUUUUUUUGUAUUAAUUUGCUUGGAGCUUCGUUUAAGAUUAGUUUUUGGUUCAUUAGCUUUUGAAUAUUAAAGUUAUUAUUUGUAUAUGAUGUGAGAUAAUUGCUCUUACGUGUAUUGCAUUACUUAUCCUUAUUUAUUGAUUACUUAUCAUUCAUUAGCAUAUAAUUGUUUAAUAUUUAGCACAUCGCAUUGUACAUAGUUAUUCCAUUGCGCUUUAUUCGCUCAAAAAGUUGCGUUUAAUAUGGUUUAAGUUUCAAAAUCAUUUUAUUCAAAAGCUUUCAAGAUAAUGCAAUACUUUGUAUUUGAGAUCUUCGAGAGGAUUGAGCCCUAACGUAUUGGGUUCCAAUUUUCCUCGUUGAAUCUAAAUAAUCGAGAAUAUUCUUUAAUCAAAACACAUAAAUAAAAAGCUCAUUCUCGGGAAUUCGAUACGUUGUGUCCUAACGCAUUGGAUAUGACAUGUUGUUUUCUUGAGAUGAGGAUUUUUUCUAAAAAAUAAUAAAUGCAUUAUUCAAUGUCUGGAAUUUUGAGAAAUUGUGCCCUAACGUAUUGGGCUUCGAUUUCUUCAUCUGACUUAAACAAUUGAAUAUCCUUUUAAAUUUCAUUGCAUGAGUUUUAAAAAUCAAAAGAUCAACUCAUUUUCGAGGAUGAGAAACACCACAUCCUAUUGGAUGUGACAUUCUAUCUCCCGAAAUAAGGGGGUCUUAGCACGCAUUUUGAUUUAUACAAGUUUUUUUUAAAAGAUCAUAUUUUUAAUCUUUUUGAGUUUUCGAUAUUCAGCAUUAAGACAUUAAUUAAUCAACUAGGUACCAAUUUUGGGCGUAUCGAGUGUGCUAAUCCUUCCUCGUGCGUAACCGGCUCCCGAACCCGUUUUCUGGAUUUUGUAGACAAAAAAUUAUCGUUUUAGUAAAUUUAAACUUUUAUUAAAAUGAUUAAAUUAGGAGGUGAUCCGACCACACCUAAAUAAAAAAGAUCGGUGGCGACUCCAAUUUUCAUUUUUUAAGUCGACGCUAUAUUUUUUGUUUCCAAAAAAGUGGUUUCGACAGACCUGUAUAAACAACGAACACAAAAAGUGAAAAAUAUUAAACACACAAAUUUUACGUAAAAAACUCCUCCAAAGAGGAUUAAAAACCAUAGGCAAAUGAGGCUUCAGUUUUUCAUGAAAUGAGUAAACCACGUAGAAACCCAAACAUCGAAAAUCAAGCCUUAACUCCCAUAGAGUUCUCUCAAAAGGGGUACAAAAAUUCUCUACAUAGUUACCACAAAAACUCUCACCAAAAGCCAUCUGCGACUACAUCUUGUUGCCCCCCAAAAAAAACCUUGUAGUACUACAUCAUUAAUUGCCUUCUUAAUUUCCUUCGCCUCUGAGCUCUCUUAAGCGGCGCAUGCAGCUACAUCUUAAUUGGCACAUCAAAUUAGGGUUACAUUGGCCCUUUAAAUAAGCUCAAAACUAAAGGAAAAAUGUCUAAAAUAACCUUGAAGUAAUUAGAGUUUGAUUGGAAGAAGAAGUCCUACUUGGAGUAAAAAAACAUGGCUGCUUACGUGGAGAAUACGUUGUAUCGUCGUGACGUCCCAUGCAUGCUUGUCACGCUGUUGUCACUGAAUUAAGUUCGAAGUUUGUCCCAGCGUCAUGACGUUCACACUUCUCUCGUUGUGACGUCGUUCCUCUUCAUGAUGUCGAUGUUCUCCUCGUCGUGAUGUUAUGCUUGCUUUGGCUCUUUCUAGGUCAAUCAUCGACUGUCUUCCUAAGUACUUGCAAAGUGUCCAGUAAAUACAAGGCACACUCUACAAUUUCAAUUGUAAAUGUUUGAUUCUACACUUUGUUCUAGUUCUUUAUUUGUGCUAUAAUGGUUUAAUUCUACACUUUGUGAUUGCUCUAACGUAUAAUUAUAUAUAAUUUGAUUGAAUUUGUAAGCUUUAAAAAAAAUCUUCUCAUUUACUCCCAUUUCCAUGUGUAGAUUCCCUUCAUGCAUAAUUGCGCUCUAUUUAUAGCUAACAUUUUUACAAUUAAAAUUAUAAAAAAUAUAGAUUCAAUGUCUCAAAAUUAAAAUAAAAGAAUUAAAAUUUUAAAAAGUAUAAAGGACCUCUAAUAUAUUUUUGGUUCAAUCAAAACUUAUUUUACAUAAUAAUUUGGGAUAGAUCUCAAAAUUAUACAUAAAUUCGAUUCAAUGUGCAAUUUGAUAAUGAACUUUGAUUUAGUUGUGAUUCAAUUGUAUAUAUGAAACUUCAAAUUUGAUUCAAUCAUACACAUUUAAAGAAAUAAACACAUCAAUUUAUUUAUAUACUGGAUAUAGAAACAUAAAAGGCUGAAUUAUUGAUAUAAGCUGAAUUAUUGAUAUUUGAAAUAUCAUACCCACAAUGUAGAUGAAAAAACAAUGAUAUUUGAAAUUAUUAUUUGAUUUUAUAAUAUUAGAAAUCACCAUACCCCCACAAUAUAGGUGGAGAAAAUAAAAAUUUGACAUAUAAAUAUUAUAUAUUAAAAUAUAUAUAUCUAAAUAAUUAGUUAAUGUUUUUAAAAAAUAAUUACAUAUUUAUUAGUUAAUUUUAUAGAUAAAAAAGAUAUGAAUUAAAAAUAAAAAACUUAAAAAAUAUAUUUAUUAAUUAUAAACAUUAAUUAAAAAUAAUAAAAAAGCUUGAAACAAUAUGAAAUAAAAAAAUACAUAUUAAAAUGCUUAUAAGAGGAAUCGAACUUUAGAUUCAAAGAUAAAUUCACAAUUAUCUAACCAUCUAACCAAAAGAGCUAAUGUGUAAAAAAUAUUAAUUAAAAAUAAAAAUAAAAACUUAAACAACAUGAAAUAAAAAAUAAAAAAGUGAGUAUGAGAAGAAUUAAACCCAUGACUUAAUGACAAAAGCACUAACAUUUAACCAUCUGACCAAAAGAAUCGAGUUGUCAACUUUCAGUGAAAAGCAUUCAAGAUGCGUUUUCAGUUGACGUGGCUGAUAGCGCGUCCUAUAGGAUGCGUUUUCCUUUUUCUCUUCAAAAACAACAUAGAUCAAUAAAUUAAAAAAAAAACACAUUUACUUAAAAAAAAUUUUCAACAUAUAUUGAUAAUUUAACCAACAUAAAAUGAUGCUAUAUCAAUAAUUAUGCUAAUAAUUUGUAAGAAUUGAAUCAAACCAAAAUUUCAUUUAUAAAAUUGCACAAAAUCAAAAUUCAUGUAUAAAAUUGCACAUUAGACUGAAGUCCAUAUAUAGUUUUGAGAUUUAUAACUUAUAAUUUAGGGAAAGGGUAAACUAUACCACGUGUCACCCAACUAUGGGUCAUUUUCUUUUUUAGUCACCUAACUAUGAUUUUUUUAAUUGGUGUAACACCCUAAACCCAACCUAAAAGUUAUAAUCGAAUCUAGGGAAAUUACAUUGACUCACUUGGAAAACUAAUUUCAGUAAGUAUUAAGCAAAUAUGACUUUCGCAAAUAGUCAUUAGAAAACUAUUUAUUCGCUUUCAGAAACCACUUAAGAAAUUACUUAAUUUGCAGCGGAAAACCUUUUUUGGAAUUUUAGUUUUGAAAAUCAAAAUUUGUUUUGUCGACUUAAGUGAUUUUGCAGUUUCGCGUUAGAAAAUAUCAAUUACUGACGAAUUAAGCAAAACCCAAAACGAGUUUAGAAACAGAUUACAAACCCAAAAGAUCAAAACAAAUAAUUACUAAAUUCACCAUAUUUACAUUAAGCGCAAAAACAAUCUAAGCUCCCACACGCCGUCCAGUCCUAAGUUAGAGGUUUACUUGAACAGACAAAAAUAAAACAAAAUGGUGGGCUAUGAAGCUCAGUGUAUAACUAAACUAAAAAAAAAUCAAACAAAACAUCAUAUACAAAUCAGAGUAACGCAAAGAAUUUCAUAAUAAUCAUAUAACUAGAGCGGAACAAAUCAAAGUGUCACAAAGAUUUUCAUAACGAUCGUAUAAUGGAAUAGAGAAUGUAUGAUUAUGCCAAUGUGGUGUUUUUCAGAAAAUCAAAAUGCAGACUUAUCAAAAAAAAUUCUACCCAACUCUGCUACACACCAAAAUAAAAUUUCUCCAGAACUCAUCCAACCAAAUCACACCAAUAGAUAAUUGGAGACAGUGCCACCAGAAUUGUAGUUAAAACUGCCAGAUCAGAUAUAUGUAGUCAAGCCACUAUGUUGCAGCUAAGUUGCCAGAACAGAUGUAUGUGGUCGAGCCACCAUAAAUGCAGACAAGCUGCCAAAUAGAAUUGUGGAUAAACCACCAAAUAAUGGAGGUCAUUGAACUGCCAAAAACUUCUUCCUUUCACAUCAUCUUGAACCCCAUGGAAUGUGUCAUGACAUGAAUACAGGAUUAGAAUGAUAAUCAUGUAAGACAUGAUGUUGUAUAAUAAUAGAAACAGAAGGCAUAGAAAUCCAUGCUUUGCAAAACAACUUGAUCAAAUCUUAAUGAAUCAUAACAAAAUUUUCAUGAAGUCACAUGCAUGGUUACAUAUCAGAAUCAAUAUCAAACACAACAACUUAUUCGAAUAUCACACAUUCACAACCAGCAAUGUAAGAUAGAAAUGUACCAUCAAAAUUAACAGAGCACAGAUCAUACCUAAAUAAAUAACAUACCUUAAACACAUCCCAAACUAAAACACAUUAUACGCUAACAGAUCUUGUUUACUUAACUUAUAUCAUAUCAGACAUAUGCACAGAUAACGAAUUAUUCAUCAACAGAUCAUCAAAAAUUAAGUUUUAUGGCUUGUUUCAAAUCAUAUGGACCCCAUGGAAGGCUUACGUUUGAGUCGAACGACGUUUACGGUCAUAGGGAAAAAUUCUAAUUUUUGGCCCACACGGCCGUAUGGAUUCACACAACCUACAUGGCUGGCCUGUGUGGCCCACAUGGCCUAGCACACUCCCGUGUAACUCAAGUCAGAGAGUCACACGGUCUAGACACACGCUCGUAUCAUUUGCCAUUGUGACUCAAUCAAAAUAGUCCUUCACACGGUCUGGACACACACUCGUGUGACCCAAGUUAGAGAGUUACAUGGCCUACCACAUGGCCUGGCAUACAGUCAUGUGGCGUCGGCAAUCACGAAGUUUGGCUUUCGUCGUUUGCAAAAUUCUCGAUUUUUGUUACAUACCUGGUUCGAUUUUAACGUAAAAGCAACAAAGAUGAAUUCUGAACCCUAAAAAUAAGAAUCGAACCUUGAUCAAACGAUUUCCAUAACCAAUUCAAUAUCUUCUAACCUGAUUUUUGGGAUGUUACAAUUGAUCACCUAACUAAUCGAGAUUUUUUAUUUGUCCAUUCCUGUUAAUGACACUAACGAGAGGGUGGCGUGUUAAUUGAAAAAUUCGUAUAAAUUUAACCCUCAAGUUUUACAUAUCUUAUCGAUUUAGUCAUAAUUUUAAAAAAUUAACCCUUAAAAUUUACAAAUGGUCUCAAUUUAUUCUAAUUGUAAAAAAUUCAAAGAAAUAUAUAAAAAUAUGUAACUAUUUUUAAAAAUAAAUAAUAAAAUUUAAAAAUAUAUAAAAAUAAAUAAUUUCAAAAAAAUAUAGUAAAACUAAAUUUUAUAUUAAUAUUAGAUCCCCCCCCCCCCUCCGCGUAUUCAUUGAAUUCUUCCUCGUAGGUUUGCGGGGAAGCUGUUGCUUAUGUUAGACAACUUGAGUUCUUUGUUAGAGAGGCACCAGAUGGAAUGAAAUCCAUGAGCGCAGGGCUUUUCCUUACCACCAUUUCAAUGGGGUUCUUUGUGGGCAGUUUAUUAGUGUAUAUCGUGGACCAUACGACUAAAAAGAGCUGGCUAAGGACCAAUCUGAAUAAAUGCAAGUUAAAUAACAUUUACUGGUUAUUUGCAGUGUUGGGAUUUAUAAAUUUAUUGGUCUUUCUUAUGCUUGCAUCAGGACAUCAGUACAGAAAGCAUCUGCCCAUUAAACCUGAGUCAAGAGAGGAGCUUAAGAGCUUGAACAAUGAAAUGAUAGAAGACGUGGAGAAGAAGACAAGCAUCCAAUCAUUGGAAAAUAUAGAGCCAUAGAAUUGGUGGAGGGGAGGAUUCUUUUAAAUUUAAUAUUAAAUUUAAUAUUAAUAUUAAUAUAUAAAUUAAAAUUAUUAUUAUAUUUUUAAAAAUAUUUAUAUAUUUUUAAAUUUAUUAUUAUAUAAUUUUAAAAUAUUUAUGUAUUUUUUUUAAAAAAUUUUAGAAUUAGGAUCAAAUUAAGAUUAUUUAUAAAAAUUGAGAAUUAAUUUUUUAAAAUUAUAACUAAAUCAAUGUAAUAUAUAAAAAUUGAAGGUUAAAUUUAUUAUUAUAUUAAUUUUUCAACAGUCACAUCAUCCUCCCGUUAAUACAAAUAAUAAAAAUUGAUAAAAGAUGAUCUCGAUAAAAUGCCUAAUUGGAUGAUGAAUUGAUAAAAAAAAUACCCAUAAUUGAAUAACGUGUGAUGUAGAACAAAUUGGUUGUUUAAUUAAUAGCACAUAACAAAAGUCUUCUUAUUAUUUUCAUUUGAAACUUAUCCUUAGAAAAAGUGAGAAGAAAGGACCGUUGGGAGGGGGCCAUGGGCCCAAUAUUUUGUUUGCAUUCCCAUGUCAAUUUUUAUCGUCACAAGAGUUUCCUGAUUAGAGAUAGCAACGUGGCGAAGGUGCAGUGGUUUUUUUUUCCUUCUUUUCCCCACACUGACUCUAGGGGUGUGCAUAAUUCGGGUAAAACCGAAAAAAUUCGGUUAACCGACCGAAUUCGGUUAAUCGGUCGGUUAACCGAAUUUUUUCGGUCGGGAGUCGGUUAAUUUUUUUAUGAUUUUUCGGUUAACGGUUAAUUCGGUUCGAAACCGGUCUGUUAACCGAAAAUUUUCGGUUAACCGAAAAAAUUAAUAAAUAAAAUUAUCCAACCCAACCCAAACUCAAUUUCCCAACCUAAUAAAACUAAAACUAAAGUUUACCCAAUUACCCAAUCCAAUAAAACUAAAACUAAAAGACAACCCAAUUUACUAAAGUCUAAAACCCAAUUUACUUUAAUAAUUUAUAAUUUUUAAAAUUUUAAAAAUAAAAAAUAAAAAAAAUUCGGGUAAUUCGGGUAUUUUUCGGUAAUUCGGUUAAUUCGGUUAAUUCGGGUAAUUCGGUUAAUUCGGGUAAUUCGGGUAAUUUUUAACCAAAAAUAAAAAAUACAUAAUUUUCGGUUAAUUCGGUUAACCGACCUUAUUAACCGAAAAAAUUUCGGUUCGGUUAAAUUUUUUUUUAAAAAAAUCGGUUCGGUUAACGGUUAAAAUUUUUGGAAGGUCGGUUAAUUCGGANNNNNNNNNNNNNNNNNNNNNNNNNNNNNNNNNNNNNNNNNNNNNNNNNNNNNNNNNNNNNNNNNNNNNNNNNNNNNNNNNNNNNNNNNNNNNNNNNNNNNNNNNNNNNNNNNNNNNNNNNNNNNNNNNNNNNNNNNNNNNNNNNNNNNNNNNNNNNNNNNNNNNNNNNNNNNNNNNNNNNNNNNNNNNNNNNNNNNNNNNNNNNNNNNNNNNNNNNNNNNNNNNNNNNNNNNNNNNNNNNNNNNNNNNNNNNNNNNNNNNNNNNNNNNNNNNNNNNNNNNNNNNNNNNNNNNNNNNNNNNNNNNNNNNNNNNNNNNNNNNNNNNNNNNNNNNNNNNNNNNNNNNNNNNNNNNNNNNNNNNNNNNNNNNNNNNNNNNNNNNNNNNNNNNNNNNNNNNNNNNNNNNNNNNNNNNNNNNNNNNNNNNNNNNNNNNNNNNNNNNNNNNNNNNNNNNNNNNNNNNNNNNNNNNNNNNNNNNNNAAAAAAAUAAUUUUAAAAAGAUUAAAUCAAAAUUUUAUUAAUUUUAAAGAAUUAAAAUAUAAUUUAUUUUUAUCAAUUUAAAAUUUUAAAAGAGCUAAAUAAAUUUUUUUUCAUUUUAACAAAAACGGUCCUGCCAGCCCAGCACCUAGCUUGUUGUAUAUAAUAUUAUAAAUAUAGUUUAAAAUAAUAAACAUUUAUUUCUAGAAAAUGGAAAUGGAAUUGAACCAUUAUUGUGUUAGAAAAAGUCAAAAAAAAAAAAAAAAAAACUCCUUGAGAAGGACAAUAUUCUCAUCCAAGGCAGCUCGGAUUCCUAUCAUUUUACCCUAAAGACAUCAACUUUAUCUUCCUUUUGUGUUCAACGUUCAUGAUUUUAGAGGCCUAAUCUUUUAUUUAAUGAAAUACAUCCAAUUUUAUAUAAGGGUCCACUACCCGAAGUCCUUGGAAACUUCUACAUUUUCUUGCACCGUAUGUAUGUAUGGGUAGAAUUUCCAUUUUUCUUCUGCAUGCAUGUGCCAUGCCCCAGUACUUGGCUACAAAAUUAAAGCUAAAUUGAAUCAAUCACUCAAUAUAAUAAUAUCCUGCUGAAAAACCAUUCUAAAUUGGUUUAUGCAUUUAAGGUCAUGACCCUGUUUUCAUAAGUGUAAAUUUUAUGGAUUCUGAUUAACCCGUACAUUGACUAGAUUUUUAAUUACUAUUAGGGCCCUAACCCCACUCCCUCACUCUACUGUAAAACAAGAUUUUCAUGACUAAAAACCGCAGAGAAUCACGGCUUAACCCCUAUAAAUGCAGUCCUUAGAAAGACUCAGCUUCACCACCUUUCUUUAAGUCUCUUACAGCUAAGCUUUAAGCAAAAUAUGGGGUUUGCAGUAGCAGCUAAAGCUGCCUUGCUCCUGCACCUUUCCCUUUUCGUACUGAGUAGCUUCACGGUGUCCUCUCAGAUCUUGCCUGAGGCUUUGCCUCCUCAUUACCAUGGAAUUUCGCCUGUAGUGCCACCUGCUCACCCACCAAGCCACCACCACCACCACCACCAUCACCAUUCCCAUCCGCAUCCCCACCCGCCAACCCCUUCCCCUACUAAGCCCCCAACUCACCCACCUGUUUACCCCCCGCCCAAAGCACCCAAGAUUGCUCCAGUUUAUCCACCACCCAAGUCACCAAGCAAGCCGCCAACUUACGCUCCUCCACCCAAGUCACCCAGCAAGCCGCCAACUUACGCUCCUCCACCCAAGUCACCCAGCAAGCCGCCAACUUACGCUCCUCCGACCAAGCCACCAACUUACGCCCCUCCACCCAAGCCACCAGUUUAUCCUCCAACUAAGCCACCGACUGCGCCCCCGACUAAGCCACCAGUGCACCCACCAACAUAUCCUCCACCAUCGCCUUCUCCACCUAAGCCGCCAACUUAUCCUAAACCACAAAGGAGCCUAGUGGCUGUUCAGGGCGUUGUUUUUUGCAAGUCAUGCAAAUACGCUGGAUCUGACACCCUGUUGGGAGCGAAGCCUAUUUUGGGUCAGUUUGAAACCUAUCAUUAUACUUAAAAAAAGAGAUUAAAAUUUACAUCUUUUCACUAAACAAAAACUUUAAGUGCAAUGCUUGGUUAUAUUCAUUUGCAUCGAGAAUUAUUAGCCCUAGUACGUCUAUCUUUUUAAUGGCCUAAUAAUUUUGAUUUAGGCAUGCAUGUGACUUCCAUGUUUGUUUGAAAGGGGAAACUUGCAUUUUAAAUUUGAGUUCAGAGAGAGAGAGAGAGAGAGAGAAAUGGUUUCUUGGAUUUUAACUUAAAAGAGUGACUGUGUGAGGUAACGUCAAUAGCUUGGCGUUUUAUGAGUUAAAGCAGCAAACUUUACCUUUUUUCAACGUUAGAGCUCAUACUUCUAGGUUCCUACAACAUCAAUGACUGGCAUGCAUUGCAUUGUCAUGGAACCCUACGUUGAAACUUGAAACAAAAGGAAAAAACCCAUUAGCUUCUUUUUCUUUUCCCAUUGAAGAGUUAAUUAAUUUAAAACUAUACUCGAGUAAUACUGACUAGACUGAGCACAUUGGUUUUGAUUUUUAUAGGUGCCACUGUAAAGCUGACAUGCAAGAACACCAAAUACAAGCAAGAGGCCACUGCGAAAACUGACAAGAAUGGCUAUUUCUUCCUGCAAGCACCAAAGACCGUCACCAGCUUUGGAGCCCACAAAUGCACAGU
rnacentral:lncRNA from 1 species